AGAGAUGCAUCCCCAAAAUGAAAGAAAAUGAGAGAAAACGAAACAAAGGAACCCCCAAAACCUAACCCAACAGUUCACAUCUAUGCUAACAGCAAAUAAUGGAAUAAAAAAUGGAACUUAGCUUUCGAAAUCCAGCCAUUGAUCCGACAUGCAAAAGGGAACGAACGAUCCAGAGUGAUUCAUGAACUGAGGGGACCUUACUCGGCUCUGUUCACCAUCCAACCCCUCCCUCUCUCUUUCUCUCACUGUCUCCAUUCCACUCACCCAUGCCAGGAUCCCUCUCCCUCUCUCUCUCGCUCUGUUUCUCUCUCUCCCUCUCUAACGGAGGCAUGGCCUCCCAUCCCCGAAACCCUCCCUGAAUGACAGCAAAGUAAACCCACCCAAUCCGUCUCAAACAAAUAGGACAAAAGUGCCCUUCCAACCAGCCCCAAUAUCAGACCAAACCUGACGGGCUUGUUGUAAAUAGCGUGAAAUCGAGUGGCUCCCUGAUAAGCCACAUGGACAAAAUUACCCUCUGAAAUUUUGAGAAUUACCCUCCCAACCCACUCCCCAUCAGGCUGGUAUUGUUGUAAAUAAAGCAAAAUCAAAACAAACGUGAAUAGUGCCUGCCCUCCCCCCUACUUUAGUAUAGAUAAUAAUAAUAACAGAAAAAUUGGCAACUAUGGAUACAGAGCUAUUAAAAACUGGGGAUUCUUUGAUCUUUUCUUUCAUAAAAAAUACUCUGCGCUACAGUGCGACAAUGUUGCUCCAAAACAUUUUCAAAACACAAUAUAAAAAACAAAAGUUGCUCACCCAGCUAAUAUUCUUCUUCAUGGGUUGUUCACACAACUAUAUAUUUCAGUUAUACAUAAAAAAUAAACACACAUGGUUAAAUAGAGAUAAGUAAUUACAAUUGAACCAACCUUUGCUAAUGCUGACCCGUCAGCUGAUCCAACUGCCCCUACAUUAAAGCAGGAAAAAGUUCAAUUUACAUGGCUAAAUAAACUUGAGGGUUGCAUAAAUCAAGUUAUUACUAAAUAAGGAAUAGAGAAUCCAUGAUAUUGACUCUAAUGUAGGCUUUAACUAACCAAGGGCUGAAGAAGUCUCUCUAGCUUCGAGUAGUGACCUGCCAUCAGGGAGUGCAAAAUCACAAACUGUGAUCACAACAGGUGCACUGAGAUCACCUUCAAAAGUUCGCAAUGGAAUAAUGUAAAUAAUAAAUAAACUAAUUCAAUAUAUUCUUAAAAAAAGACCCUAAAACAUCCCUAAUUGAACCCACAAAAUACAAUUAAUCUAGUAGUUUAAUCCAAGAAAAAAAUUUCUUCAAAUCAAAACGGGAGCCAAGCUUUCUGGUAUUAAAUUUCUUUCAAUCAGAAUGGAAUUCAGCUUGGAUUUUCUCAAGAAUUCCAAGAAAGAUAUAUACAUUUGGUGAUAAUCGUACAUAAGAUUCAUACAAUAUUUUCAUAUCUUGCAUAAAAAAUAGAAAAUAGAAAUUAAAAAAAAUAGAAAAAAGAAAAGGUACCUCCUGCCGCUGCUCUUGAAAAGCCAAAAAACAUUAGAUCCUAAAUACUAAUUAUAUGCAGAUUAUUUGCUUGUAGCUAAAAAACAGAACCAACAAAAACACGCAAAUAAAAAAAAUCAUGAAAUUUGUUUCUACACAAAACCCCAUUUCAAAAUCAACACAAAAAAUUCCGAUUGAAAAGCAAAGUAAAUAACAGUAGAGAGAGAAAGAGACAUAGAGAGAGAGGUGAAAAUUACUCGCUGGUGACGAAGCUAAUGAAUUCGGAGACGCAUUCCUGGACGGUGUUCGACUGAUCGCCGCGAGUAGAGAGAUGAGAUCAGAAAGAGAAAAAUUAGGGUUUGAGAGAUAAAGAAACUGAGGCAGAGAGACGGAAAGAAAGAAGCAGAAAAGUGGAUGGCAACUGAAACCUUCCAGCGACUUCGUUCUUUGAAAAUGACUUAAAAUUACCCUUGGAUAAUUUUAUGCAUUCUUUUUAGCCUCUUUGAAUUUUUUUUGGCCGAGGGCAUUUGCGUCCAAUUAUUUUUGUCGAAGCCGGUGACACCAAAGUUUUGUCUGCGUGCUGUGACCCAAAAAAUCACUGUUUACCACUGUUUACCAUUGCCUCCGGCUUUCUAUAUAAGAUGUUAUAUAAUGCGCAGAUUUUACAAUCUAAUUCCUCGAAACAUCACAACUAACCUAUAAUUUGGAAAACCAGGCACUGAGCAAACCCAGUUUAUUUUUAUUUCAAAUUUUCAAUAACUACAAACAAGAAACAAAAUAAAAAAGAAAGAAAACUAUCGCACAAAUGUGUAGUGACCUUAAUCUGUUGUAUUCCACGUUCAAUCCCAAUUUUACACUCUACUAAGUGAGACAAAAAAAACUCAGUUUUAUACUUACAGUGUCAUGCUGGAACUGUCCUGUAAUGUCCAUCUGUACCCAUAAGGCCUUUGAAAGUAAAAAUGCAACAAAUAGAACCAUGAGGUAGAGAGGGUUCCUGUUUCAUUUGAAGAAAAAAGGCACAGUGAUUAACAGAUGUGCAAGACAUUAGCGUCUGGACACUUAAAAAUGUCCAAAACCUAAAACUUGCAAAAGGAAACAAAAAAGAAGGAAAGUAAUUACUUUAAAAGCAUCAUAAAUUCGUUAAAACCAAGAACGAUCAUCGCCAUUAUAGCCCAUGGAGGAGGUAACCAGUUGUUACUCCGCUUGUGAGCCUCCUGAAAGUACAAAAGCAAACAACAUCAUGAUCGAGCAGAGCUAUAAGCAUAAAGAUAGGGAGCUCGUUACAAAAUAGUAAUAGGAUGCUAGGAUUUUUCUUUGUAGAAAAAACAAGAAUACACUGAACUUGAUUAUAAGUCGGUCCUAUCUGACUAAACCAUACCCAAGUCAAGAAUCAGCGCGAUUUUCAAUAUGAAAUUUUUCCAUAUGUUUGGUUUCACUACUAAACUAAAUCCAAUUUACAUAAGAACUCCCGCCCAAAAUGUCAUCCGAGGACAAUGCAUGCGUCCUAUUUCCACGUUCCUCCCACCAGUUGUUCAUUACUUUUGCAGGAACAUGUUCCAAUAUUCAUAUUUUCAUAACCAUAUCUUUAAAGAACAUUUUAUAAAAGACAAAAUCCAUUUAUUCGAGAUGCAACUCUGAUUAAACGAUAUAAAAACAAUUACACUACUGAAGUUAAACUUAAGUAUACCUGUGCCGAAAUAGCUUGAGUGACUCUAUAUUCGGUCUCUGCUUUGAACUGCCUUGACAAUGACUUGCACUGUACUGGGGUAAUUAAGGUAUCCUUUGAAGAAACCUAGUUUAGAGUUAACCUUAAUAAGAAGGGAGUUUCAUCAUAGAAAAAUUUUACAUAAAAACCAAACCCAUAAAUAAAUGGUACCUCUUCCCAAGAGCUUGAGGCAAGAGGAUCUGUAGGAGGUCCUAGUUUCCUAUUUUGUGAAGAUGAAACAGUAACAGUCCUGUCCACCAGAGAAGAAACUAGGACAUUUUCAAUAUUAUCUGGCUUCUCAUCCAAGCGAAUAGCAGCCAUGGUCAACAAAAGCUUCAGAGACUGCAAGAAAGAGAUGAUCAAACAACUAAAACAUCACUUUAAGUCAGAAAGAUAGAUAACAUGUACUUCCACAAAAGUUCCCAAUGAUUACCGCAGUUCGUGCAUCCUUGGUAAUACUUCUAAUGUCUUCAUUCCCAGUCCAAACCCUAGGCAUUGAAUCGCUGUAAUAAUUGAAGACUACGUCAAACCUGAGAAAUGACAACAGAAGUGAUCAGCAACCAAAAUAACAAGGUAAAAAAGAAAAGAAGAUUUUUAAAAAGUUCCUACCGAUCCUUCAUGUGUGGAUCAUAAUUUUCCCAGCCUCUUCUCUUGCUUUUUUCUCCACCAAUUUCUUGCAUAAUCCUUCAAAUGCUGCUUCAUUUUGACAACCGUUUCAUUGUCCAACUCAAAAAUGCAGUUGAGAACUCCGAUACUGCAACUUUGGUCUCACGAUUAAGUAGUUUUCGUAUCGAAGCCCAGGUGUCUUUUGCACCAGUUUCCAGUAGAGCCUCUACAGGACCGCUUAAAGACGAAGAAAGUUUUUUCUGAAAAAUAAUGGGUAUUUGCAUUAAGAAAUUUGAAUAACCAAGACUUUGAUACAUUAUCAGAGCACUACCUCAUAUGUGGAGAUAAAUGACCACAUACCUCAUCCUGGACCAACUGUUUGAAUUUCUGGUUGGCAAUCUCUUCACACCGAACCGUAGCAACCAUAACCUAAUUAAAUUACAGUAUGUGUAUAUAUUAUAUGCAUAUGAGAAGGCAAGACCACAAAUUAUCAAUGGGAAGAAAAUAAACUAACAAACCUUGUGAGCGGGAAGAUCCAAGUCCUUGUUCUCUUUGAUUACUUUCCAAAUCUGUUGUGCACUAAAGGAAAAUCCUGACGCAGGGACAACAGCCCUUCUAUCGCCAGCAAGCCCUCCUGGAGAAAUAGAAUGGAAAAAGCCAUCUCUAUUUCUUUCUCUUUUGUGAUGCGUCCAACUCAGCCUCGCCAAGCAACUCGGCCGCGGCGUUGCUGCAGGCCAUGGCGAACAGUUCCACUCGAAAAUCCGUCCAAUUUGAGCGAGAGUCAAAGAACUCGGGGAGGAAUCGGACCUCGUAGUUUUGGAUGUGGCUCGCCAGAUGAGCCAUGGUUUCCAGCGAAAACGGGCACCAAAAAUUUUGGUCUCGGAUCUUCGACCUGGAUCCCCAUCGACAAAAUCGAACAGCACAGAUUGAAGGUAAUGUAUAUGUGUGUCUGAGGGUUUGAAAUUGGGGGAAGGGCGGCUGAGCCAUGUGAAAUUCGGUGAGAUGACAUAGAGUCGGGAGUGAUGAUGAGUUUUGGGCUGGUUUGGGGAUGGAGUCGGCGAUAGAAAGAUUUGGCGGCACAGAGUGAUGGGUUUGCGGUUGUUUUGGGGAGAUGUUGCUUUAUUUAGUUAUAGGGAUUUUUAUUGUUGGUGCGUGGUGAAGGAAGGAGGGAGGAACGCUGCAGGAGAGUCUUGUGCAGGAGGGCCACUAUUUUUUAAGAAAAAAAUCAUAUUUUAAAUUUUCUUGCUUAGAAAUCCAAAACUGUGGUAAUAUUAUAAGCCAUGCAAUGUGUGGAUGGCCAAUCCCACUCAUCCCAUUCUACAGUCCUUCCACUACAAUCAUGGUACUAUUUACUUUAAUGAAAUCAUUUUUCAUUAGUUUUUAAGUCAUUUUCAAUCAACAAGGGAUAAAAAGGAAAAAACGUUGUUAACACACUGGAUCAAUCAACCAAUUGUUUUGAAAAAACCUUUCAUGACCAUAAUAGAAAUUCUAUAAGUAAGGGAAUUUUAUAAGUAAGGGUCAAACAUUUUUUCAAAGAAACACAUAAAACAUUCUUUUGACUGACAUUUACAAGUCAUUUUCCGAUUGGUUACAAUGGUUCUGUUCAUCUCUCCAAUUAGUUUUUUUGUUCUCUUUAACCUUUUGUCUAAUUUUAUUUUUCAUUUUUUAGGUGACUUUCUGCAAAAGUUAGUAUAAGCUUUUCGCAUGACAUGGAUGAUGAGUAUGAGAAACUCAUGCGGAGAAUGAACCUACCAAGCUAUAUGCAUAAAUCAUACCUUAAAUUCCUCAAAAUCACUUCAAUUAUUUACCAUCUCCCUUAUUCAAACUUACACCUCUUCAUCCAAUAAUGUUUCUCUUAGGAUUGUAAUUAAUAACAGAGCAAACAAACAUGGAAUACUUCUGGAAGUUGUAGAAGUACUUACUGAUCUCAACCUUAUUGUUACGAAAGCAUACACAUCUUCGGAUAGUGGCUGGUUCAUGGAUGGUAAAAAUCCUUUUAUUACGGACUUUUUUAUCGCUGUAAAAACUGUCCUUUUUUGUUCGAGCUAGAAACUGAUUAUGUGAUUAGGUUUUCAAAUCGGUUUUAACUGCCGCUGAUCAAGAUGGAAACAAGGUUACAGAUGAGAUUUUGAAUUAUAUUCUAAACCUAAUCCAAAACUAACUGUGUUUGCCAUCUGUUUUUCCUGCUUUUGCAGCGAAUGAUUUAAAAAUACUUUAUUCAAAAGGUUACAUUUGUUUGGUCUACUGUGGUUACAUUUUUCAUUCGAUUAAGCUUUGUCAUUGUGUAUAUAUUGGUUGUUCUGUUUCUUAAGAUUGUGAUUAAAAGACCUUUUUCAGAUUAUGUGAAAACUCAUUUUGUGAAGGAAUUUGAUACUUAAAUGUUUCUUCAGGUAUGAAUGGCUCCCAAAACAAAGAAAACACUGCAACUUCAUUAACUGCCGGAAUCAAUCUCAACAUAAAGGAAAGUUUCUGUAAGCAUGCUCUAUUCCUAGGGAGAUUUCAGUUUAAUAGAAUUUUUUGUUUAUGUGGGUUUUGAAUUUUAUCAUAAGAUUUUUUCUUAAUUGGUAUUCAAAAGCGAAUAAAAUAUGUGUUCCCUGGGUCUGACUUUUUAGUUGUUUUGUUAUGAAAUUGUUAAUUGAUUGCAUAUUGUUAAUUUGAUACAUUUUCUUUUUUUUAUGUUAGCUCCAAUUUCGUGCUCUAAGAAAGUUAUGGAUUCAUUUUUUGUAGCAAAUAUUAAAGUAUCAAUAUCCAAAAGAGUUAAAUUAGUUUCAAUUCUUAAAUUAUCAGUAUACAGAAGAAAGAUCUAUUAGUUUCAAUUUAAAUACUUUUGGAAAGUUAGAAAUAGCUCUAUUAGUUUCAAUUUGUACACUUUUUGAAAUUUAGAGAUCUACUGAGCAUCUUGAAAAUUUGAAGUAGUACUUUUGCAUACUCCAAACUUGAAAAUUUGAAGUAGUACUUUUGCAUACUCCAAACUGUGACCUAUAGCUCCUUUAAUAGUUUUCAUCCAUUUGAAUUGAUACAAAAUAACAUACUGAAUCCAUCAUCAAUCCCACUACUAUGUUUAUGUCAAUAUUCUUCCACUUUCGAAUUUAACUUUGCUAACCCUGGUAAGCUUCCCCUUCAAAAAAAAAUUAAAUUCUCUUCAGUAAAUACGAUUUAUCAAAUGCUUAAUUUGGGUUUGGAGUUGCUUUUUUCUCAUGGUAAAAAUUGGUGUGUCCCAUCCAGAACAAUUAGUGGCCAUUUUGAGGUUUGUUCCAGUAACGGGUUUAAGGUUUUUUACAAUGUCAUAUCGUGUUAGGAUUUUUUAAAGUUGGUUUAUUUUGAAAUUAACGAUUUUAUGCAUCAUUCAGUUGGUAAAAGACAUUUUCAUUCUAUUUGUAAGAUUUAGCCAAAAGUAUUUUUUAACAACUAUGAUAUAGUUUGAUUUCCAUUCAUAAUUACUUAUUUUGUUAAAUUUAACCUCGAAUCUGUUAGUAAAUCUUUAUACUUUAUGUGCAAAUACAUAUAUAAUAUUGUAUGUAUAAUUUUUAUAAUGUUGUUAAACAAUUUUACUUUCAUCUUUUUGUCCGUAGAGGGUGAAAACCGCGCGGUUCACAGAUGCAAAACAGGGGACAUCUUCUACUUCAUAUGGGAAGUAGAGAUUAGUUCGACUGUGAUUGUUUUUCUGAUUUGGUUAAAAUUGAAAUUAGUUGGCUUGUGUCUAAUUUAGUUAUUUGCAUUGUUUGCACAUGUAGUCGUUUUCUAACUUAGUGCAUCAAAAUAUGUCAUACAAUUUCCAAUGCCACAGUAAUGCGUGAAUCACAUUUCCCACAGCAACGCUCGAGCUACACUUUCUAGCUAUCUAUUCUAAAAUUGAGGAAUGAUUUACUGUUCAUUCAGCUACAGUUAAAUUUUUCCUUCUCAAUUUCACCUUAUUUACAAGAAACCCAUUAGAUUUGGGCUGGGUUGGAAUGGUAAUUAUUAGAACUUAGAAUGGUAAUUUUGUCCAUAGGAUAUGGGACAGAUUGGCCCUUGAUUUCACCUUAUUUAUAAGAACCUCAUCAGAUUUGGGCUUGAUUUCACCUUAGAAGGGUAAUUGCUGUAUCUUUAAUAAUUCCUGACCAAGUGAAACUUUAAUCAUUCAUGGCAGGGUACAAAUACAUAGUGUAAUAUAUACUCACUAUCUCACUGUCUGAAAAAACUCACGAAGAAGAUAAGGGAUUAGGAUUCUCUUCCCUCAUCUUUCCAUCGUAUUUCGUUCCCUCGUUUCACAUUUUUCAUUUUGUCUUUCUCUUUCUAUAAAAAAUUAAUAUAAGAUGUUGACGCGAUUAACCGUGACUGUUCAAAUAGGGAGAGGGAAGAGGAGGGAAAAAAAGAGGGGAGAAUAUCCUACUCCGAAUAUAAGGUCAUCUCUAACCGAAGGGUCCAAGCCGAAAAUAACCCGAAAAUCGUCUCUAACCGAGGGCUAAGCCAGAGGGCUCGUGGGCCCCACAAAAUCUGAAUGGGCCAAAUGGCCAACCGGUUGGCCAUCUUCAGCCAGCUAGCCCAUUUUGUUUUAUUUUUUUAUUUAUUUUUCUUUUCCACUUGCUGCCCAGCCCAGUUUCUGCUCUCUUUUUUUUGUUCUUUCAGCCUAGUUUAGGGCUUUCAGGCCAAGGGAAAUUGUCACUUUUUGGUCCCAGCCCAUUUUUGUAUUUUUUUUUCAACAUGCCAUUUUUUUGGACGUUUAUUUAUUUAUUUUUUGAAUUUCUAAUUUUUUCUGCAUCAUUUCUCACAUAUUUUUCAUCAUUUCAUAUUGUCUUACCUUAUUUUAUUUCAAUUCUUCACAUUCCAUACUAUAACCCUUUGACCCUCUGUUGGAUAUGGUUUUUUAUGACAGGGUUGAAACGGGCUCUUUGGCCCUUUGACUCUUGGUUGGAGAUGAAGGCAAAUAUGAUCAUGUAUUGUUUAUUAAAAUAUUAAUAUCUUAAAUGACCAGAAGGCUAAAACGAGCCCUCUAGCCAACCUUUGGUUGAAGAUGACCUAAGAGCAGUAUCUUCCUUUACAGCUCAUUGUUUAAUAUUUUAUUAUUAGGGUAAAAGACUGUUUACUACCCUCAUGUUUCGUGGUUUUCAACAUUUAGUACAUCAAGUUUUUUUCGUCUCAGUGUCAUACCUAAAGUGUUAAUUUUGGGACAGUCUCAUACAUCCGUUAGUCAAACUGUUAAGUCUGCUGUUAACUAAUGACGUGGCGCCCAUGUGGACAAUGACUGGGUGCCACGUGUCAUUAAAAAAAUUAAAUAAUUAAUUAAAUAAAAGUACUUAAAAAAAACAAAACAAAAUUAAAAAAAAACAAAACAAAACCCCUUUUUCACUUCCCCCAUUCGUCUUCCUCACUGGAAAAAGGGCUGGAUUCCUUCCCCCUUCGUCUUCCCCACUGGUGCGACAGUAAGCCCCUUGCCUCCCUCGCCCGCGCUAGCUUCCAUCUCCACCGCUCGCUCCCCUCUCUCCUCUAUUUUCUCUCCUCUCCUCUUUCCUUUUUCCUCUCUCUCUCUCUCUCAGGUUUCUCUCUCCUCUCUCUCUCGCCAGAAGGGCAAAACCCUAAAGAACCGUUUACACCCACCUGAGUAAGUUUUCUCUCUCCUUUCUCCUAUCUUCUCUCUUCUCUCUCACAAUCUCUCUUUCUCUAUCUAAAAUUUGAAUAUAUGGGUUCUUGUACUAUUAACCUGCCAUUUACAUUCUUGUGCAUAUUUGUAUAUUUAAAAGCUUCAAACUUUAUUAUGAAUUUGUUAUUUUUCUCCUUGUUAUACCCAAAUCUCAUAUCCCAAUUUCUCAUAUUACGAAACCCUAAUUUGUUGUAUUUGAUUUUGGAUGGAAAUUCAGAUCUUGGUGUUGUUUGUUUACUUGGUUGGGAGAUAGGGACCGGGAACUUGUAGAGCUUAACGGAGCCGGAGGUGAGGCAGGUGGAGUUGGGGCUGAGAGCGAGAGCCGUGACGCUGUCGCGGUGGUGGCGGAGGAGCUUGGGAAGGCUGGACAAGAUAAGAGAGUCGUGGAUGGCGAUUGUGGGGUCGGAGGAGGAGGCCGUCACUACGUGGUAGGCCUGCUGGUUCCACGGCAUCGAGCAGUACGACGGCCCCCCGCCGCUGCUCGUGGGCUUGUGGACCUCUCGGAGCUUCAAAGUUCUGAUCUUCAUGGCUCUGCGUGCUAAUCGACGGAAACUUGGAUUUGGGUUUUUAUUGUAUUUUUCAGAUUUCUUUGUUGUUUGAUUUUUUUUUUCAUGGUUUAGAGGGUAUUUGGGGCUGAGAUUUGAUUUGGGUUUUGAAAGUUUUAGCUUGAUUUUUGUAGGGUUGUUGAUUUUUCUGGAUUUUGGAGAUGAAGAUUGAGAUGGGUUUAGGAUGAGGGGUUUGGGAUGAUGAAGAUAAAGAAAAAUCCACGUGGACCUUUUAAUGACACGUGGUGCCUAGUCAUUGUCCACAUGGGCGCCACGUCAUCAGUUAACGGUAGAUUUAACAGUUUGACUAACAGAUGUAUGAGACUGUCCCAAAAUUAACACUUUAGGUAUGACUCUGAGACGAAAAAAACUUGAUGUACUAAAUAUUGAAAACCACAAAACUUCAGGAUAGUAAACAGAGUUUAACCCUUAUUAUUAUAUUGACCUAAAACAUAUCACAUCACAUACCAUUUUAUUAUUUUAAUUCAUUAGACACAUGGGUAGGCUGAUCACAUUCACCUAAAACCCUCUUUAAUCCGUACACGGUACACCCACCACUGCAUCAUUUUGAGUAAUAUUGUAUUAUUGCAACGACAAUUUACAAGAAUACGCAGUACCAGAUGUACACCCACUACAGGAAUAAGCAUUUUUGAUCAAAUUAUUAUUUUUGAUAAACCCAUUUAGAAUCUAAUCUGGUUCUGCCUGGAUUCCAGGGUAAAAACCUUGAAACUUAAAGGUUGGUUUGAUCUGGGUUUUCCAAUUAAGUUCUGCAUGAAAGUGUUGGCUGCUGCUGCUCCGCUCCCUCAACGCUCAUUUUUUACACAUCGCAUCGUCGAUCCGAUCCCCGCUCCAAUCCGCCAAACAGGUUCGUCCCCCCUCCCAAAUCCCCUAAUUCGUAUUGUUUAUUUCUAUCCGAAUUUUGAUCUGGUUUUUUUUCUUUUCCAUAUUUCCAGUAAAUCAUUUGUUAUUCCUCCUCAUCUCUCUUGGUGCUUUCACUGAAAUUUUCAGUUCUUAGAUCGUAUUUUGUUUCUGAUUUCUGUUUGCGUUCAGUGUGAUUUUGUGUGAAAGAAUCAAAGAUGUUGGGAAUUUUAAGGCAAAAAGUGGGAGCUGGAAGCUCAUCAGCUAUGGUACACCCUCUACUUCUGCAAUUUAUGAACCUUCAUUAUAUAAAACACUUGAUUAAUUUAUUAUUAUGUGAUUUACUGCCUAAUCUUUGUGUUGGUUCAGAUUUUGGGGCAGAAGAUCCUCCCCGCCACGUCGGCAAUGAGGGGUUUCGCAGCUUCGGCUAAAGAGGUAAUCUGACGCCUACCAUCAUCUAAUCUUUGGCAUUUAUAAUCCAUGCGAUUGCUUAACAAAAAAAUUGUGUUUUUUGCUUUUUUAGAAGAUUAAUUUUUGUAUAAAAUAUAAAUCUUAUAAACAUUCUACCCAUUGUUUAGUUUAACGAAUUUUGUAGUGUUAGUUCUGCACCACUCCAAUUUGCCUUUGAUUGGAUAAAUAAUAGCAUUGUUUAGCUAAUUUGCAAAUUUCCUCCUAUUCCUAAGUUAGCAUUUUUAGUCAAAAAUUUUAGAUUUUACAGAUUUUUCCAGUUCAGGAUGAUAAAAAUUUAGGGCUUUGAUUUGUUGAUGUGAUUUCCACGUAUUAUGAAUUGAAAUAGAAAUGCAAGGAUAUAUUAGAUGUGUGAGUAAAUUUCCAGUCUUCAUAUAUUUGUUUAACCCUUAACGAUAUGUGAAUUAUUGAUUGAUAAUUUGAUAAUAUGUAUGCUAUUAUUGAUUAAGAAAAAUUAGUUUGUUAAUUUGUUGGGCUUGGUUGUUUUGGCAUGUUGAUGUUAUAAAGCUCCUCUUUAUAGUUAGGUUGAAGAUCAAGUUAAUAGAUUUUUUUUUGGUUGGUUCGGAUCGGGCGAUUCCGGAGGCCUGCCAUCGAGGUUAGUCUGAAGUGAUUCCAAUCUUAUUGACUUAUUGCAUGUUAAAUUCUGCUUCAAAUUUGUGAUUUAAUAUAAUUGGGCUUUAGAAAAAAAAUUCAUGAUUUUGUCUAAUCCAAUUGAGUGAUUAGAAAAGUUUUCAUCAAAUUUCUGGUUCCUGGGGGGUUCUGAAUCUUGAUGUUGAGAGAGCUUGGUUGCUUUAAUUGCUAAUGAAAUUCUAUAUAUACUAAAACCCAAACGCUGGUUACUGUUCUAGGGCAGUGUGCGGACUAAAAUACCCCUCAAUUCGUUUGUUAAGCCAAUUUUUUGCCAACUUUUCUACAGUAAAAUGACUUCCUUGCCCCUCCGAGGCCACGCGUUUAUCCUCUCCGGUUUCGAUUUCUUUGGGUGCUUUUCGGUUCUCUCUCUCCCCAUCAUCAGCUUUUCCUUAUUUUGUUUGACUCCUGCUCUCCCCGUCUCCCUCCUCGCCUCACUCUUCUCUGCACCAAGCAGCUCGAUUUAGGGCUUCACCAUUUCUCUUCGAAUCAAGGUCUCUAUUUCUCUCCCUAUUUUCCGAAUCUAGGUUUCCUAUCUGUCUGUGGAAAACCCUAGAUCUCGCCACUGCCGGAGAGUCCAAGCUCGGCCCUUCGAGCUUCAAUCUGCCUUGCAGAUCGGCUCCUCUCGGCGCCUCCACCUAAACCCCUCUGGUAAAUUUCCCAACUUUUCCCCCAAUUCUUUUUUCUCUCUAUUUCUGCGCUUUCGAUAGGUUUCAGAUUUUCCCUUUCUUAAGCUUAUUUUUCUGAAAGGACCUUGAUUUUGUGUUUAAUUCGGGUUGUUGCGUCGUGAAUUUUGAAUUUUAUGUUUAAUUUGGGUCUUUACAUAGUGAAUUUUGAAUCUUUAGCCUGAUUAUGCUGUAAUUAAUUUUAAUUUUGUGGGUUCGAGUAAAUUCCUCACCUUUUCUUUUCGUUCUUUAAUUUUUGAGUUCGAUCUGUUAAAUAUGUGUGAUUACUGGGUUUUUCCUAUCUGUUAAAGAUUGAGACUUUUGUUCUACCAAAUUUGAGUUGCAGCAGAAGGAAGCUAGGAGGUGCAGCAACUGGAAGUCGGAUUUCACUCCUGUCAUUGCAAUUAGAUCAGGUUCUGGCUGAUUUGAUCUGAGCAUGCACAUGUACUCUUCUUCUACUCUUUCCAAUUAUACACUUUCCUUUAAAAAAUUUCAUGUAAAACCUGAAAUUUGUAGUGACUCAUUGUUUACGUUAGUACGUGGGAGUAAUAAGGUGGGGGAGCUACUCAGCUGAGCUAAUUAUGAAAGGGGAAAUCAAAUGGAAACAGAAGGUUUCAAUUUUUGUACGUUUUUAAAUAAAAUGGAAAUCAAACUUUUAUGGGUAGGUAAAUAAAAACAAAAAGUUUGAUCAUUUUAACUCUUUAAAUGUUUAAUUAAAUUCCAAUUGAGGAAAGUAGUUUAAUUUUUUCAAUUUUCAGAUUGAAAAUCUGAAGGUUGUCUGUAAUCUUUGAAUUCCGCAGGACUCCGUUUGAAGCAUCACCAGGAACUAGAAAAUUAAACACUUACAACACAGCUGUUAAAGACGUUAAAGUAUUUCAAUUUGGCUAUUGGCAAAUAUGUUUGGUGUUUUAUGGCGAGAGAUGGUUGGUUUCUGCUUCUAAUUAUGUUAGCAGGAGGUACAUGAGUGAUCACUGCGACAGUUGGUGGACCUCAACAAGAGGUAUUUACUCGAAGGGUGACAUUUUUGUUCAGUUGCAUUUAGAAUUUUAGUUAGAGUAACCGUUAUUUGAUUAAUAUAGUUUGCUUAAUAUUGUUUGUAUGAGUUGUUGGGAUAAAGAUUUCCCAUGAAUGUUGCAUCAUAUAUGCAUUAUUGGGCAUGUUUAUUGCAUAAUGUUGAUGUACUUUUGGAGUUUCCUUUAUUGAUUUUAUAAUUAUUCAAAAUGUAGCAUAUCCAGGAGCUUAUUCGUUAUCUGCAAUUUGGACUCUGAUGGCUGGCUCUUGGUGUAGCAUCAUCUAUUGGUCUUGGUAAGUGCGAGUUAUAUUCAAAAUAGCAUGAAAACUCACAACCUGGAUACUGGAAAUCAUUAUACAAUCCAUACUUGAGGGCAAGUUCUCUUUUCUUUUUUGUUUAGUGUGGAUUCUCUCUCUUUUGGAGUUUCCUUUAUUGAUUUUAUAAUUAAUCAAAAUGUAGCAUAUCCAGGAGCUUAUUCGUUAUCUGUAAUUUGGACUCUGAUGGCUGGCUCUUGGUGUAGCAUCAUCUAUUGGUCUUGGUAAGUGCGAGUUAUAUUCAAAAUAGCAUGAAAACUCACAACCUGGAUACUGGAAAUCAUUAUACAAUCCAUACUUGAGGGCAAGUUCUCUUUUCUUUUUUGUUUAGUGUGGAUUCUCUCUCUUUUGGAGUUUCCUUUAUUGAUUUUAUAAUUAAUCAAAAUGUAGCAUAUCCAGGAGCUUAUUCGUUAUCUGCAAUUUGGACUCUGAUGGCUGGCUCUUGGUGUAGCAUCAUCUAUUGGUCUUGGUAAGUGCGAGUUAUAUUCAAAAUAGCAUGAAAACUCACAACCUGGACACUGGAAAUCAUUAUACAAUCCAUACUUGAGGGCAAGUUCUCUUUUCUUUUUUGUUUAGUGUGGAUUCUCUCUCUUUUUUUUUUGUAAUUUCUGGUGCUUUCAGUAACUUCAAUGAUAAUUAGUUUUUUUUUUUCCUUUUUGAGGUUUUCUUUUUUGUUUUAAUUUACAAUAUUACUGAUUUUUAUGUAUUUUUUGAAGGUUGUGAUACACUCAUAAAAAGCAUACGAUUUCUUCAGAAAAUUGGCAAUUGACUCAUCAGUAAGUCUAUUUUUUGAAUAGGAACUAUUCAAAACGAUGUAUGAUUUAUUUUUUCAUAAACUAUUAAAUUACGUGCCUUUGUUAUUUUAUAAACCCUCUAUAAAUCCACUAUGUAGCGCUAUUUUUACGUUUUUUUAUUAUAAUUGACUAAUUUGUGAUUGUGUUUGGUUAGGGAAAUGCAGAGAGAAGACGUUCCCAGUAAGUUUAGCAGAAAUACCAAAGGAAAUGAGGCAAUCCAAAUCAAUGGCAUACAGAGUGUUCGGAACUCAACGAAAAAUGAGAAAGGAGCUGUAGUUGAUUAGAAAGAGCAACAGGUUUGAUGAUGGUUGCACUGAAUUCCUUAUGUGAUGAUUCAAUUUUGGGUUUUAAAUAAUGCUCCUGUUUGAAUUUUAAACUCUUGAUUUUCCAUUCAGUGUUUCAACAAAAAUUCUCCCCAAUGCUGAUUUGCUUACGGCGGUGUUUAAGGUAAAUUUUGCUCCCUUCCAGAAUAAUUUUCAAUGAAUUAUGUCUUCUGAGUAGUAUUGAAGCCGGACAUUGUAUCUUUGAGAAAGUUUAUGUAUAGUUUCUGCAAAAGUUUAGUUUGGAAGUAGUAUAUAUCUGUAUGUGGAGUUUUGCUUUUUUCCACUGUGAAAUCAAACCCCUCUAUCCAGUCUCUUACAUUCUUGAUAUGCUCAUCCCCCGAAAUCUUCCUUUCUCAUCUAAAGGCAGAUCAGAGAAUUCAACAUUCUCAGUGGUCAAAUUUUUUACCCAAGGUGGGUCUCGAGUCAAUCAGCGGUAUGCCUUCAGCUUUGAAUGAGAGCUUUGGCAUGUACUCGGGAUCUAGGGGAUAGUUGGUUCAACCUCUCCCGUGGUAGGUAAACUUAAUUUGGAAGGAAAGCAACUCAAUGCUUUUUUUUUUUUUUUGUAAGAAUGCUACUAGAUGAAUGGCAGAUUUAUCAUAUGAGCGUCAUUGAAGUUUUAUCUUGAAUCUGAACAAGUUUUUGUCAAUUGUUAUUUUCAAAGGUUGUGACAGUUUGUGCUGGCCUUGCAGAAAUUUUUGUGAUCAUAAAAUUGUCAUGUGAUAUUACUAUUGUCAAUGUUAUGCAAGGAAUAAAGUUUGUAGAAGGUUGCUGAUCUACCUAUGCUGCCACCAAAAUAAUGUAUGUAAAAAGUUGCUGAUCAACGAUAACAGGUAGCUUGCAAUUUUUUUUUUUUAAUGUAUCCUAUUAAAUGGAUUUGAGAGCUGCGAUAUUACUGAAUUAUUUUAACAAUUUACAUUAGUAGCUUUUACUUUUUCACAUUGUUACCGAGAAGCAUGAAUAUCAUAAAAAAUAAAAGAAGUUCUGAAGUGAUAAUCGAAGAAUUUAAAAGUGCUGAUUAGUGUAUGUGUGCAAAUACUGUAAACAGGAAUACGAAUCCAUAAUUGAAUCCCUAUUUUGGUUGUACAUGUGUGUAGAAUUUUUUACAUAUUUUAUACGCUUUAAAAACCCGCAGCAACGCGCGGGUACUUAUACUAGUUAGCUUCUAAAUGUUCAUCAUUUGCUUGUUUAUUUUCGUUCUAUAUUUUCUUUGAGUUCAUAUAUAUUUGGUUUUUUUUUCGUGAUAUAUUGCCGAUGCCAAAAUAUCAUAUUUACAAGGACAAAGAUAGCAAGGUUUUAAAUCAAAUUUUUGUCCUGAUUCUACUGUUGGGUUCACCAUCAAUAAAAGGCACAUGAAAUAUGGUAUUGAUUUUAGAGCCUUUGAUUUAUCAGAUUGUCUUCAUAUAUCGAAUGUCAUCUGAAUUUAGUUGUAGUUAACAUGUCAAAGUUUGUUGUUGUUUAGCUUUUUCAAAUGGUAGCCUUAGUAUUUGCCCAGUAUUUUUUGUGAAUUCCAAACUUUGCUUAUAAUUGUAGGUACCUAAAAGCUGCCAAUUGGAUUUGUUCUUCAGAUGAUAAUGGCAUACCUAUAUAAUGGUUGUUCUUUUGCUUUGAUGUAGAAGUAAGAAAAUUGCUUUGCCCCUUAUCUAUCCCGCUUCUUUCUGUCCGUGUGUUCUUUGUUCAAAGGUUGGUUGGUUGUUAAACUUGAUGUUGUAGAAGAGUUAAUGUCUGGUAGGCAAAUGAUUAUGGUGUUGUUCCUAUUAUGCAUAAGGUCGUGGUAAUAAUAUUGUGAGAUUUUGUGUCUGCAUAAAUCCAGUAGUGGUUUUGAUAAUCAGAAAGUAAUCUCUCAACUUCUUUGUGAUUAUAGUUGCUUUGAUACUGUCAUAGGGACUUUUGUCAUACUUACAAAUUGAUUUUGAUAUAUCCCUUCGUAGGUUUAAAAUUUUUGUCAAACCCAAAAGUUACCUUGCUGGGCAUAUUUAAAAAGUAGUUUAAUUAAUCAAUAUUACUAUGGUAGUUUUAAAGUAUAUGUUAAUUGGAAUUAAUCCUUUUGGUUUUAUUUUUAAAACUACAUAUCUGUGGUAAGGAGGGAUACCUAUUGAAGUUUUGAAUUUCCAGUACUCAGGUGCUUAAAGAUUUGAAUUUUUAAAGUGGUUCCACAAAACCUGCAAAGUGGUUCCACAAAAAUCUUCAAAGUGGACGUUAUGUUGCUUGCAGCAAUAGAUUGUUUAGGGUUUAGUUGAAAAAGAUAUACAAAAAAAACUAGGUAAUGAGGCAUUGAAUUGGGUUUGAGAGUUUUGAUAUUAUGAGAGAGGUAAGGAGUACAUAGGGAGAGAGGGAGGUAGGUGAUUUGCAGAAAUGGAGGGUGAGAGAAAAACGGGAGAAAAGGGGUAGUACAUUAUAUUUUGAUUUUAUAAUUUUGGGGGUUUUGUGUUUAAACUUUUUUAGUACUUUUUUUUAGAUAUAGCCUACAAAUGUUGACCCAGAGGUUGGACAUAAUCAUUACUUCUUAUUACAAUUAUUAAAAUUAAUUAUAUUAACUAAAUUUGAUUUGAAUGUUUUGAUGAUGGUAACCACUAACAACAAAACAACGAUCUCCUUAAUCUAGGAGAAAGAGCCGAAAGGUGAGGAAGAAAAGAAGGGAAAGCAGGAAAGAGAGCUCUGCACAUGCAAAUGUCAGUGUUCAUGUAAAGCAAAGGUUUCUCUUUCGUGUUGUUGUUUAUCUCUGUCUAGCUCUGGUAUUUUGAGGGUCUCCGAGAAUACAAUAUACUGUGACUCGGGUCUCAUAGCUUUCUUGCUAUAUGAUAUCAUAUAAGUAAAUGCUAGAAUGCUAAAUUUUAACCAAGACCAUACUCACAAGCAAAAUACAAAUACAAAAGUCCAUUUUAAAAUGAAGUUGUGAUUUAUCGAAAGAUGUUCCGUAAACAUAGGAAUUAUGGAUAUGUAGGCAUAUGUAUUUUAGCAUUAUGUGAUGAAUAGGUUUAUUUUUUCUUAAAUUAUUUUUCUUUGGGUAUUGCAUGUCGUGAUCACCACAGUGAUGUUUGAUGUUCUUCUUCAAGUGCUUCUUGGGGAUGUUGGAGCUGGGAAAUCAAGUCUGGUGUUGUGCUUUGUAAAAGGACAAUUCGUUGAAUUUCAGGUUUGUUCUAUAUCUUUCAAAAGACGCAUUUUCUUUUUUAUCCAUACCUUUACUUUUAUAGUAUGCUAUGAUGCACGGAUACUUCUGUUUGGUCCCGCAUCCCGUAUCCGAUACUUGAUCGGAUACGAUACUUGCCCGAUACUCUCGGAUACUCGUCUGAAACGUAUCCUAGUUGAUGGAUACGCAUAUCUUACAUUUAGGAUACACGUAUCUAGCUUUUAGGAUACAUUUACACUUUCAAAAAAGGUAAUGAGGAGGAGAAAGUUAAUAGGAGGCAUCUAUAAUUGAAAGUUGUUGAAUAAAAAGAGCUUCCCUUUAAUUAAAAUCAUGAAUACGACUUUCACACUUCUUCUACUAUAUAAAGAGGAUUAUAUUUUGAACUUUUCUUCUCUAACAACUCAAAUGUACUUGAAUUUGAAUGAUGAAUUAUGUUUUAAAAUGUAUAUUUUUGUUGCUACAUACAUUUUUAUUUGCCGUAUCCAUAGCAUAUCGUAUCUUAAUUUUUAAAGAUUUUAUGUAUCGCCGUGUCGUGUCGUAUCGUAUCGCAUCGCCGUAUCCGUAUCCAUGCUUCAUAGAUAGUAUGUUAUUACAAGAAUCAAUUGCCACCCUUAGUUGGUGGUAUUAUCUUUACAACACAUUCAAAGCAACAAAUAAAAUCGCACUUGCUAUUUGUUCUGUCAAUUGGACUGCUAGAGUAGAACUAUAGAAAUAUCUGGUGAAAGCAAUGAAGAAAUCAUUAUGAUUGAUCUGCAAAGAAGCUCUAAUAAGUUACAAGAGAGUAGCAAUGUAAAUUGAACUGCUUAUUUUAUGGAUCAAUUCACCUAUCUCUUGCUUUUUCUUUCAUUUGGAGAUAAUUGUGUAAAUGUGUGGUUUCGUGAGUGUUACUCAUAUGAAACGUGUGUUGUCUGAAUUGCUACAUUUAAGAAUGUGAUUGUAUGUAGCAUUUUCAAUUAAUUUUUCUAUGAAUAUUAUUCAUGGUUUGAAAACCCGCAGCAAAGCGUGGGAAUUCCUGAUAUCGAUUCUGGAAGCACGCCGAAACAAGGCCGUUUGACCGCAAUUCACAAGAAUUGCUCUGCCGCGACCUGAGCAGUUCAAAUUCAAACAACCCCAAUUAGGCUUCCACAACAUCAACAACCCUUGUGUUGAUAUGUACUUCCACUACGCCAAGGACGCCAUGUCGACCGUGGAAUUCCACAAAAUUCUGAUGAACCAAGUGCUUCCCUCGGCCUGGUCGCACAAUCUUCUAACCACCCUCAAACUCAUCUGCAACUUCAUAGACAGACGCGGCUUGGCUCUACUAGAACCACCCCAAAACCCUUGCCUACAAUCUCGUGCCAAUUUUCGGCUCCUUCGGACAUAUCCUAGACCUUCCUCGCAUUUUCUCGCAGGUUCGACGAGGCGAAGCUCACCUGAAAUUUACUGGGAGGACGAGGGAGAAGGCGGAUUCAAACGGAAUGGUGAAGGUUAAGGAAAAAGACACCAAGUCAAAGGCAAGCGAAUUGUUGUUGAGGAGGAAGGCGAUCCACACGACCAACAAGGCGGCUUAGAGAUACGAGUGCGACGCUGAUUAUCGCUUUUUGCACGACUGUGUUUCGGAUAAUUUUGCCCAGUGCCUCAAGUUUGAUAUUGAAAAAUUCAUCAUCACAAGGACCAUGACCAUCAUGAUGAUUACUGCUUGCAGAUUACCCAAGCAGCUACCUAUUUGCCUACCAUCGCUGAUCAUUGCAAUGAAGGUUUUCCCGCCAGAAUCAUGCCUCCGAGAAGGGGAUGGUAGUGUUUGUUGUAUUGACCGACUGAGGAAGGAGGUUUUGUUGCCCUUGAGAAAAACUAUGGCGCCAUAGGGCUGGGAACCUUCCAACCGGUGGGGUUAUAGAGCGAAGAACAAGCGAGAGCAACUGGCUCCAGCCAAUGAGAUUGAUCCUGACGAUGCAGCGCUGCUUCCGCUGACGAUGCAGCGCUGCUUCCACAUGACAUAUUAAGUUAUAUCAAGUAUCCUGAGCUCGAGCAAGAAGCUAAUAUUAAGUGGAAGAAAAUGAUGGAGGUCUACUCAAAGCAGGGGAAGUUGAAGAAUUGGUUAGCUGUAUGUUGUCGACAACACCUUGUUGGUGAGUUUGGCUUUGGGGCUUUUGUUGCCUCAAUUGAGUGACGAGCGAUGGAAGGGAAAUGUGGUCACCUAAAGCAAAAACCUUUAGCUGCAUUCGAUACAAGGCGAUGAUCUUAAUUCGAGGGCCGAAUAUUAUGCAGACUUUGAUCAAAAGCCAGGACUGGACGGCUGAUUUCAAGAAGGUGUUCGAUGUGAUUCUAGAAGAGGUAGUGAAUGCGAAUUUGAAGCCAGAUAAGAUGGUCAAGAAGGUGCUCGCCUUGACCACAUACAAACACUUCUUGACAGGCAGCAACCUCAGCUUCUGGGGGGAGACUAAGAUGUCUCCCUUUCUUCUUCUAGUUUCUGCUACUACUUUCACUUCUCCAAAGCUCUCAUUCUUUCUUUGAGUUCUGAUGAUACUAAGAGAGAGUAUAUAUGUAAUUAAUACUUUUGCAGAGAAGAGCAAAGUGAGUGACGAGAACUAAAAAAGUGGGACUGGAAAACGGUAGGCUUAUAACGUUCAAAUUCUAAUGGUCACUUUUAGUGUAGGCAAUGGAAACGAAUAAAAUGUGGGGCCUAGACUUGCUGCCUCAAGUGAUCUGGCACUGGCACUUCCAAAUGUAAAGAAAAAAGGCACAAAGACAACUAGAUGAGCACCAUAGCCUUAAACAGGUUGAUCUUGCUUUGGAAUUGUUUAUUGAUCCGAGGUUAUUUUUCAACUGAGAUUUGCUUUGGUGAGCAUGAACUUCCCUACAUUUUGGUUUUACUCGGGCCCCACUGUUGAGGCCACUCAUGUGAGAAAGGUGACACUUGCAUAGCAAUUUAACCAAAGAUUUUCUUCAGGUGACACUGAUCGACCAACAAUUCAUAAUCAUUCAUGUAAAAAAGUUGGCUUAUGCAAAAACACUACCAAAGAGUCACAUUAGGGUGACACCGUAAUGAAUCAACAAUUGACAAUAACUCAUCUAGAGCCAACUCGUGGCUUUUGUUUAUAGGCAUCUACUAAGAUUGCUUAUGUUUUAUUAUACCUACUUGGGUAUCAGAUAGAAAAGGGUGGUGCUAUUCACACCUAUUUUACCUCCACCCACUCUUCUCAAUUUUCGACCGUCGGAUCGAAUGAAUUAAAAAAGACCAAAAGACAAAAAUUACCAAAAAAAUGUGUGAGAAAUUAAAAUGGGUGUGUGAAUAGCACCAACUAUUGAAAAAGAAACAUCCAUUAUUUUCCUUUUGAUUAAAAGUGGAGAUUUACACCGCAACAUACUACCACAAAAUUGACAUGUAAGUUUUACUCAAGGGCAAGUACAUCGGUGCACAAAAGGAUAAAAGGCGUGCAUAAAUCAUUUCCCAUUAUUUAUCACCUUCCUUCUCUAAUAAUGCCAGCGAGCAGUGAUUGAGUGAUGUUUACUGGAGAAGGCGCAAGGUCAACCACGGGGGGUGUUAGCACCACUUGUAUAGCCUUCAGGCUCAUAGUUGAGGCGGUCAUUACUAUGCUUGGAUGCAGUUGAUGGGGUAUCAUCCUUCAUCAAAAAGCUACAUGUUGACAAUGUCGUUACAUCUUUAAAAUCAUAAUAUGUCAAAUAGCUCGGCUUCGUCAUGAUAGUGCCUAUGUCAAUAUCUUCAGAGAGCAUUGCCACCACGCGUGACAUAUAUGGCCUCGUCAUUGGUGAUGCCUGUGUGCACAUGAGAGCUACUCUUAUCAGUCUAGUCGCUUCAGUUUCGUCAAACUCUGUCAAUCUCGGAUCCACCAACCCCAUAAUUUGGUCAUUUUCAUGUAGAGUCCAUGUAUGAAAAACAUUAUGCCAUGGUCCAAGGAAAGGGUGAAUAAGUUUUUCACAACAAUGCCAAAAUAAAGCUAGGGGAAUGCAAUUCCUACCCAUUCAAGAAGAUAAAUCUCUUAUGGAUCUAAGUUAUUGUCAGAGUUUGGUCUCCCGCUGGGGAUCUCCAAAAGCAACGGCUCCAAAACCAAACACAUCAGCCUUCUUUAUCAAAUGUCCACGCAUUGCAUACUUGGGUGCCAAAUAGCCUCUGCAAUGCAAUAAUCAAAUUGUUGUACAAUGUUUCUUUAGAUCAUGAGUGGCAUUAUUAACAUGAUUUGUGUUAAAAUUUCAUGCAAGUAUAAAUGUGUGGCUAUAAUAUAUGUAUCUUGUGGAAAAAUAAUAAAGGAUGGCUUACAUUGUCCUUGCAACCCAGGUGCUGAUGUGGGUUUUCUCGCCAUCAUAAAGCUUUGCCAAUCCAAAAUCUGAUAUUUUUGGGGGGAGUUCUGCAUGAAGCAAAAUAUUAAUGGCUUUGACAUCUCGAUAUAGAAUCCUUGGCCUUGACUCCUCAUGGAGGUAAGCAAGUUCUCUUGCUGUUCCCAACAAUAUAUUGAAUCAAGUAGGCCAACCAAGGUGCAAGUUACUUGUCUCUGAAAUAUUAGUGAACACGUCCAAUCAAAAUCAAGGCUCAUUUUAUAGACCCAAAAAGGCAUUUUCUUCUUUAUUAUGCAACUGGACCAUCAACAUCAAGGCUCAAUUUAUAGACCCAAAAAGGCGUUAUUAAAUUAUCUGAAUUCCCUGAACACAUUCUUAAUUUUUAGUGGUGGGAUCUCCAUCAAGUGGUGGUGGUUCAUGAACAUAUCUAUAAACAUUGUGUAUGAAUAAGUAGGAUAUACAUCCAUCUGCUAAGGUAUAUUCAAAUCUGGCAUGCCAGUCCCUGCCCACUACCAAAAGCCAAAGCUAAAUUACAAUUACAAUUAAUUAUUAAAAUGUGUAUUAUAUAAAAGGAAAGGGUCCAAAACAAGUACAAGGGUGCACAAAGGGGUAAAAAGAACAUGCGAAAAUCAUUUCCCGAUAUUUAUCACCUUCCUUCUCCUCUAAUGCUAGCGAGCAGUGAUUGAGUGACGUUUACAGAAGGUGUAGGGUCAAUCCAGGGAGUGUUAGCACCAUUUGCAUUGCUGCCUCCCGACUAAUAGUUGAGGCGAACAUUACUACCCUUGGAUGAAGUUGAUGGGGUAUCAUCCUCCACCAAAAAUCUACUUGUUAACGAUGUUGUUACAUCUUUAAAAUCAUAAUCUGUCAAAUAGCUUGGCUUCGACAUGACAGUGCUUAUGUCAAUGUCUCCAGAGAGCAUUGCAACCACACGUGACAUAGAUGGCCGUGCCAUCGGUGAUCCCUGCGUGCACAGGAGAGCUGCUCUUAUCAAUCUAGUUGCUUCAGUUUCAUCGAACUCUAUUAAUCUCGGAUCCAUCAGCCCCAGAGUUUGGUCGUUUUCAUGUAGAGUCCAUACCUGAAAAACAUUAUGCCACUGUCAAAGGAAAGUAUAAAUAAGUUUUUCACAACAAUGCCUAAAUGAAGCUAGGCGAAUGCAAUUCCUACCCAUUCAAGAAGAUAAAUCUUUUCUGGAUCCAAGUUAUUGUAAGAGUUUGGUCUCCCGCUGAGGAUCUCUAAAACGACGACUCCAAAACCAAACACAUCGGCCUUCUCUGUCAAAUGUCCAAACAAUGCAUACUCCGGUGCCAAAUAGCCUCUGCAAUGCAAGAUAAUCAAAUGGUUGCACAAUGUUACUUAAGAUCAUUAGAGGCAUUAUUAACAUGUGUGAAAAUUUCAUGCAAGUAUAAAUGUGUGUGGCCAUAAUGUAUGUAUCCUCUGGAAAAACAAUAAAGGAUGAUUUACAUUGUCCCUGCAACUCGGGUGCUGAUGUGGGUUUUCUUGUCAUCAUAAAGCUUUGCCAGUCCAAAAUCUGAUAUUUUUGGGGAAAGUUCUGCAUCGAGCAAAAUAUUACUCGCUUUGACAUCUCGAUGUACAAUCCUUGGCCUUGACUCCUCAUGAAGGUAAGCAAGUCCUCUUGCUGUUCCCAACAAUAUAUUGAAUCGAGUAGGCCAGUCAAGGUGCAAGUUACUUGUUCCUGAAAUAUCAGUGAACACAUCCAAUCAAAAACAUUUCUUAACAAUUUUAGAGUGCUUGAAACUGCAGACAAUGUUGUUUCUAUGCAACCUAAAAGUAGAUAGGUUUGUACCAAAAAGUGCCUGAUCAAGGCUCUUGUUUUCAAGAUACUCAUAAACCAAAAUGUGGUGGCUGCCUUCAAUGCAGCAUCCAUACAAUUUCACUAGAUUCCGAUGUUGCACAGCAGAUAUGGUAGCAAUUUCAGAUACAAAUUGACUCUUCCCUUGGUGAGAUGCUACUGAAAGUUGCUUCACAGCCACUACUCUACCAUCAGAAAGUGUACCCUACAAUGUACACAGAAACACAAUUUAGUGACGUGAAGGGAAAGAAAACAGAAGCUAUAUGUUCUUUUCUCGCUCUCUCUCCUUUCUCUUGUCAUUACUUCAAGUACAUGAUAUUGAUGUAAUAAGGAUUUCACCUUAUAAACGGGGCCAUAUCCUCCCUCUCCUAGCUUAUUUGAAAGAUUAAAAUCUUCGGUUGCAGCUCUUAAUUCAGCAUAACUAAAAGUAUAUGGCCAGGGGCCUAAUCCUAGAAUAUCUGCACAUUCACAAAACAGUAUGACAUAAGUUUUACUUCAGUGAAAGCCUUCUUACUUUUGUGUGUUAAUGUCAGAGCAAAGAAACCUGAAUUGGGUACCAGUAAUGAUAUGGUCGUUUACCUUCAUCGUCUUCUUUUUCUGUUUUUUUCCUCCUCAUAAAUAGAAUCGCAAAUAUUAAUAGCAAGCUCACAACUCCAACAAGAACUGCAAUACCGACUAUCAACCCAGCCUUGCUCUUCUUUGUAAAAUCUAAGUGAUAAAAGAGACGAAUUCUUCAAUGUCAAUUAACAGCAUAAAAAUACAUUUAAACCACUCACAGGAAAUCUCUAUAAGUUAUCAGAUACUAUACCUGAAGAAGCAUGGACAGCUGCUAUUAGUGGGCCGUAAUGACCAUAAUCGGGUAUGCAACAAGUCCCUUUACCAGCCCAGAACAGAUGAAUUUCAAGAUAAUUCUCUGACAUGCUAACAUUAAAUUUUCUCACAACUGCUCGGUUAACACCACCUGCCUCCUUCGAUAUGUCAAAGUCCUUCGUCCUGCGGGUACCCUAGCAACCAAAUGAAGAGGUAGGUGAUAAUUCUAUUCUCCUUUAAAUCACUGUCUUUAGUUAAUGUAGCUUAAAACAUCGAAAACCUGUCCAAUGAGGUGUUUACUUCAAAUAAGUUAAAAUUUUUAUUCUAUAAGCAGUCUUACCUGGAUAUAGAUAUCAAAUACACGCCGUCCUAGACUUUGCCAAGUUUGCGAAGUGCGACUUUCAUAAACCGUCUCUGCAAAGUGCAAUGUUACAGUGUAGGGCCCAUUCUCAAGGCCCAGGCCAUAGUAUCUCAGUGAUCCUGUGGACACUCUUGAAGUCUGGAAAAGCUCCGGGGUCACGUCUGUUCCGGUGACUUGUGCAUGGGUAUUUACCAACGAUGGGGUAUUUUCCCGAGACGAUGAGGGGGACGAUGAGGGAUAUUGGUCAGAAAACAAACCGGCAUUGCUGACUGCCCAAUUCUCUGCACUGGUUACACUGAAUGUUGCUGAGCCAAGAACUGAUUCAUCAGUCUCAUACAAUAUGCCAUCUCCCUUCAUUUGCUGUCCACCACAGUUGAUUGAGAAGCUUGCAUCUGUAAAGUUUCAUGUAAUACGAGAAUCUACCCAUGAUUAGCGAUGAAACUUCAAAUUGAAGACUCAUACUAAUGUUCUUCAGUCACAUAUUUCUAACCAGUUAUGCAUAUUACUGAACUUAUGAAAACAUGCUUGCAAUCUAUACCCAUAUGUAUACAUAACUAGAGAAGCAAUGCCUUUUCCUGUAACAUGAUGUUGCGUUAAAAUAGUAAAUGAUGGGUGACAUAAGAGCAGAUUACAUCGUGGGGUAUUUCGAUUGCAUGGAAAAUUUCUCUGGAGGCAAUUCAAUCCACGAAGACUGCAAACACAGAGAACAAUUAUUAGUUAUCCAAAUAGAAUCAUGUAGUGGAAGAGUAGUGAUGGUAUUGCUUGUCUAAAACGAGUAAGAGAAACUUCAACUCACGUUAUGUUUGAACUGUCAAAUGUGAAGUUGUUGACCACUAAGUUCCUGCAUAAAAUCAUUAAUCAAUCAACAUAUGAAGAACUAUAUCUUUAUCAAAUGAAAAUUCCAUGUACAAGAUCAAAACUUAGUAGGCAAGUAGCACUGUGAAAACGAAUCUCAGCGAUAAUUUUUUGUCCGAACAUAUUUUGGUGAUUUAAACUGUAGAAUGAAGAUGAAAGAUAAAAUGACACGUACACUUGCGAUAUAUUGGUCACCCACUGGGGAAAGCUUCCUGAUAAAAAAUUGUAAGACAAAUCUCUGCAAAUAACAAAAUAAAAUCAGAGGACACAAAAUGCAUGAAAGUUAUUAAGAGCUUGUGUAAGAUAGGAUUAGAAUGCUUAUGGUUAUACACAAACACAUACAUGCACCGUGCAUUCUAUAUGACUACUUUAAGAAACGAGGACUUACAUGGUCUGAAGUUGAUCGCUCUUUUGGUUCAGAAGAGGUCCGGAGAGACUAUUGUUUCCAAGAAACCUGGCCAUUUUGAUUAUAGUAGAAAGGCACCCAGAAAAGAAAAGGAGAUGAACAAACAAAAGGGAAUGUUAAAGAUUUGAUAACUUAUGCAUGAUAAGGCAAGAAAAAGAUAAUAAUAAAGACGGGGAUUACAAGGAUUCAAGAGAACUCAAGUUGAACAAAGAACUUGGGAGUUGGCCUGUCAAAUUGUUGAAACUCAGAUCCCUGCACACCAACGAUAAGUUGAGAGGAGCAAUCAGAAUGAAAGAAGACAAAUUGGUCUCGUUGGGACUCAAGCUUAUAUUUGCUGGUACGUACAGUGUCUCUAGACUUUGAUAUUCUCCAAUAUUAGAUGGGAUGGUACCAGUGAUUAAUGCGUUUCGUAGUUUUCUGUAUUCCAAAAACAUAAAAUUUGAUAAAAAGAAGAUGGGGUAAGAUAUCAAAUUUCAAAAUGAAAAAGAAGUUAGAUGAAAGUAUCUGGAUUGAUGAGAAUCUUCACUUACAAUUCAGUCAAGUUUUUCAGAUUUUUUAUGAAAUCAAGAGAGGAGCUCCCAUUGUAUAUAUCACUGAUUCGCCUACAUCAUUAUAUGCAAAAUAAACUGAAAUCCCAUCUUCGGAGAAAGAGAGAGAAUUACAAUUUAUGAACAUUUGUACUUACAGAGAGUUCAAUGAGGUCAGUUGAGAAAAGCUGGUUGGUAUUGGGCCUUCGAAAGAGUUCCCUUGAAAUUGCCUACAGAAACAUAUAAGACACUUGUGAACAAAUUAUCCACCUCGGGCCUGCUUUCAUAAACUGCAAAAGAUCAAAGGUUUCUCUACUUACAAAUCAGUGAGUUGUGUCCAAUUCCCUAUGAAAUCAGGUAUCUUUCCUGAGAAAGGACUGUCCGAUGCCCAGCUAAAAUUCAAAAAGUGGACUUAUACUAAAGCUCAUCCAAGAAAAGCAAUCUCAAAGUACUGGAUAAACGAACAAAUCUAAAAUACGAUUUAAGAGCCAUUCUUACAAGACUUGCAUGUUGGUGAGCUUGGCAAAUGUUGAAGGAAUUUCACCACCGAGUCCACAGCUGUCCAUGUAACUGUGAAAAUCAUAAGGCAAUUGAUGAGUACCCAUUUCAUACGAUAAAGCGCAACUUUUGCUCAUUCGUAAGGAAUUAACAUGUAAUUCAAAUUUGAUGAUUUAACGAAGCACUUACAGUCGCUCGAGCUUGACUAAAUUACCAAGUUCUGGAGGGAGUGUUCCGGAGAAAUUAUUUGAUGCGAUGCUCCUGCAAGUCAUGUUGAACAGGCAAACACUUACUUGAAAGCAAAUAUUGAAGAGUGAUAGAAGGUUCUGUAUCUAAUGUUUACGAUACAAAAUUUUAUUGUAUGCUCUCUAAUUUUUCAGGGCUUACAGCAUAGUUAGCUCCAAAAGGUUUCCAAGUUCCUUGGGGAUGGACCCUGAGAAUGAAUUUCUGCUAAUUGUCCUGAAUGGAGAUAUCAGUUAGUGAAAGAUAAGCACCAUUAAACUUAAUUACAUUACAUAACAGGAAACUAGUAUUGCAUUAUUCAAUAAAAGCAUAAUGAUUUUUUGUAGAUUACGGCAUAAAUAGUAGCGAAAAGGUGUAAAGAACAUAACUGUAGAUUAUGAUAUUCAAAAUCAAGUAUACAAAUUCCUAUGGGUCUCAUCAGAAGUAUGAGUACUUAAAGAAAUGUUCUCUCACUACUUACAAUUCAGUCAAUGCGGACAUAUUGCCAAUGAAUGCUGGUAGGGGACCGGUGAAAUAAUUAUGAUCGAUAUACCUACAAAAAUUGAAAGGAAUGUAAUCGUUAACUCUUAAUCUUACAACAUCACCAUAUUUUUGUUGAAAUCCCACAUCGGCUAGAGAAAUAAAGAAAGAAGAGUUUAAAUAUCCAAAUCCCACUCCAACUAAUGCUGAGGCAUUUUUGAGAUAAACCUCACACCUGACGGAUUGUGCAGGUGGUAAUUACCAAUUUGGAGACAAUAUCGGUGUUGUUGGAAGUGAGUCUUUGACUCCUCUCUCUGAUAAUUCUACAAUUUUUAAUAUCCAAUGGAUAAUAUGAACGAAAAACAGAGAAAGGAGUUGGAAAAAAAUUCAUACAAAUUUGCGAGAUAUCUUAGAUCCAAAAAUUCUUCUGGAAACACCCCUCGUUUGUUAAGACCAUACACACUCCUGGAAAGCAAAAAGAUUGAACAUUUAGAACUACAUAAAAUGGAGCGACACAGUCAAAUUAUGACAUCAAUAUAUAGGUAACAAGUGAAAAAUCAGCAGUGGCACGGAAAUCUUGUUCAUAAAGAGAGUAGUUUAACAUACAGUUUGGUGAUGUGGCAUGUAGCAUUGUUGUCGUAAGUACAGUUGCAAACGACGGCUGCGCUGUUAUCGGGGAAGUUAAAUUCGGUGCCGUUGAUGGCAGAUCCACUGCAGGGUUCUCCACUGAUAUUCCACAGCCCCGGCGCUGCUUGUGUGUCCCAUUGUUCAAAUAUUGAGUUCAACGCCCUCACUGCACUCUCAGUUAAUUCAGUCAUUGUGUGUAUUAGGUUAUAUCACACCAUACUUUGACUUGCGUUACCACUUACCAGACUAUCUUGAAUCAAAUGAGAGAUCAAAUUAAUUAUUACACAGGAAAAUUACCCUUAAUUUGGAUGUUUUGUAUAUGGGAAGAAAAAGGGCUUUACAAAUAAGUUCUUCGAAACUUCAUUUCAUAUAGUCGAAAAACACUUAAAAAUGUCAUUUUGUUGAGGGAAAAAAGCCCAGUUCCUGAUCAAAAACACUUAAAUGUGGCAAAGUGUGUGUGUAGGGGGUGGGUGGGGAGAGAGAGAGAACCUUCAGAUGGAUCAGUGGUAGCAUUUUGAGCAAUGGACAGCUGAAACCAGAAGCAGCCGAGGAAGCAGAGUAAUAGUAUCCUCAUCAUCAACUUCAUCUUCAUAUCGUAUGUGCAGAACUUGCUCUCCUCAUGAACUUAAACGGCCAACACUUAUAUUCCGACUGGCUGAAUCAUGCAUUGCAUGUAAGAAGAAGAAGACCAUUAGAUUUUAGUCAUAUAUUGACAACGUAUACAUAUACAAUAUAAGGUAAAUUACAAAAAACUAUCUCAAUUAUAAGUCGAAUCACAAUCUCAGACCUCAUGUUUUAAAUAUUGCAAUAUCAUUCCUCAUCGUAUGAAUUUGUUGAAAUGUCAGGUCUUUAUUAAAUUUUCUGUCAAUCUGAUUGUUAAAUGAUGACAUGAUAGAAACGAGACCCACUUUUUUGCCAACUUGAAUAAAAAAUUAAUUAAUUAUUAAAAAAUUAAUAAUUUUUUAUUUGACAAUUAAAAUUAACUUUAAAAAUAAAUAAAUAAAAAAACCUCUCCUCCUUGUUUCGUGGAAAUAGUCCCGUUCCUCCUCCCAUCACUCCUUCCUCCGCUCCCCCUCUUCCUAGUCCUCCUUAAACACAGCUAAUUUUCGUCCUCCUCCGGGAACAACUGAUACACCGCCGAUCGCAAAACGCAGGUGGGUUUCGAUGGCAAACCAAAACCAGACCCCAAAUAAGUGGGUUUUGAUGGCAAACCAAAACCAGACCCAAAUCAUCUUGCUCCAACAGUCUUUACAUAAAACUAAUUGAUUUCUUCAUCAUAAGUUCACUAAGAUUUCGCAAAACUGAGCAUUAGAAACCAUCCCCUUAUCAUCUUCCCUCUCUUCAAAUCCCAUCACCGACUGGGGCUUUCGCCCCACUGCCAUUUCUUCAAUUUCUUCUUCUUCACCAUUUUUCUAAGAAAACCACCAAACAAAAUUGCAAAGGUAGAGAGUUCCAGAAAGCCAAAACGAAGAACCCCACAAAAACAAAACCCAAAACGAAAAACACAAAUACAAACCCAGAAAAUUCAAGAAAUUAGAGAAUUCAUUUUUUUUUAAUUAGAGAAACUAAAAUUUCAAAAAUUCAAGAAGUGGCCAUUUGAAAAUUCGCCAAGAACUCCGGAUUUUCGAAAUCCUCCAUAAUAUUAAUUGAAGAAUGGAAGUUCAUUACAGUCCAAUUUUUUUCUUUUUAUUUCCCAUUUUCUGGGUUACCACCACUGCUACAGAUUCGCUUCCCCGAUGCGUAUCAACCUCUACACCUUCUCAUUUCCGUCUCCGUCCGUUCGGUUCUCCAUCAACCACCAUUCGAUUUCUCCCAACCAUCAUUCGAAUCGAUCCACUGCCGUUUCAAAGAAAACCGGACCGAUUUUGAUGCCGAGGAAGGUAUGUGCUCGCCGACGUCGUAGCCAGAUCAUUUCGUUGCAACCUCCACAAGAACCACGGAGGGAGUCAAAACACCGGAUCUUUCCCGUCGAACAGAUUGAAUAUGUGCCGAUCUGAUAUGACGAACUCGCUGGUCCGAAUCGGUGGACUCGAAGGCGGUGGAUGGACAAGGAAGAAGGGGGACGAAGGAGGACGAGGAAGAAGGGGGACGGACGAGGGAGGUGGGGGAGGGGAGGAGACGAUUUCUGGGGAAAUGAAGAGAGUUUAUUUUUAUUUUUUUUUAAAUUAAGUUUAAUUGUUAAAUAAGAACUAGUAAUUUAUUAUUAAUUAAUUAAUUUGUUAUUCAAUGUGGUAAAUGAGUGGGUCUCACUCCUACUACUUCAUCAUUUAACAGUUAAAUUGACAGAAAAUUUAGACAUUGCAACGAUCAUAGGUUGAGGUAUGACAUUGCAAUGUUUAAAACAUGAAGUAUGAAAUUAUGGUUUCGAUAGAUAAGAUAGUUUUAUGUAAUUUAUACUGUAAUAUAUUUUGUCCAAGUUGCAUGAUCAAAUGGCGGCUACUUUUUAAUUUCCAACCUGGAGUUGGCCAAGACUUUGAUCAUAUUAGUUGAAUUUUAUACUGUAAUAUUACACACUUAGCAUUGAAAUAUUUAUGGAUUGACUUAUGGAUUAAUAUUCUUGCUCAGUUGGUCAAUUACUGUAAUUAUGGAGAGGGAUUUUUCUCGAUAGCGAAAGAACGAAGGAUUAAUUCUUUGUUAGUUGGUGAUUUUGAUAUGACAUCAAACCACGAUGUCAUUGUGACAAUUCUUAAACUAAUCACAUUAUUAUGUCUAACAAAACACAUGACACACUAUUUGAUUAGUUUUUUUUUUCCUUUCUAAAAGGAUGGACACUAGUGUCGAACUACAGUUAUCCACCUUUUUCGGAUUCAGAAGAGGCUAGUUGAAAAUUAUACCCUACCUACUGAUGACCUUGUUCAAGCAAGUACGCAGAUUACAACGUAUUGAACUCAAGACUUUGACAAUUAGCUUAAAAUAUUGCUAAGAUUACAUGUUGUAAGUUUGUCCGGUAAAAGAAUAAUAUUUCAGUCAUAAUUUUACAUAUAAAUUCAACGAUAAAAUGAAUUUUAGAUAAGUGGAAGUGGAUUUUUUCAAAGAAAAACACAGGUUGGAUUUUCUAAAAAAAAGAAAGAAAAAUCUCUGGUGGAAUUUUCAAAAGUUGGGAUGAAAAUAUCUGCAAGUAGUUGAAUGAUGCAGCGAGAAAAGUCAAAAGAUGAUAUGUUUUGGGAAAGGGAUUUUCCCACAAAAUACACGAUCCCCACAAAGUGGAUUCGGAUGAGAUCCAAUUCCUAUGUUUUGGAUGACAGAAAGUCAUACUGCCACGUAUGAACGCACCACCACCCCACCCACCUUGGCUUAAUUAUUCCGAUGACUUGCUUUUGUUGACGAAAUUUCUUACGUCUUAAUUGGGAGUGAGAUAAUUUUGUAGUAUGCAAACAAUUUGCUUUCUCUCGGUCCAUAUAUUUGCUACUAACGUCUUAAUUGGGGACGACUAAAGUACUUUUGUAUGUAUAUAAACUUGCUUUCUCUUGGUCCAUAAAUUUGCCAGUAACAUCUUAAUUGGGACCGAGAUACUUUUGCUUGAAGGUAAACGACUUGAUUUCUCUCAGUUAAUAUAUUCAAUGGCAACGUCUUAAUUGGGAUUGACAUACUUUUCUAUGGAUGUAGACAACUUGCUUUCUCUCAGCCUAUAUAUUUGCUAGUAAAGUCUUAAUUAGGACGAUUGGGGUAAUUUUGACUUGCUUUCUCUCAGUCUAUAUAUUUGCUAGUAAAGUCUUAAUCGAGACAACUGAGAUAAUUCUGUACGUAUGUAAACAACUUGCUUUCUCUCUAUCUAUAUAUUUGCUAGCAUAACGUCUUAAUUGGGACUUUAAUAUUUUCUAGCGUCUAGAAAAAUUCGUAGAUUGCUAGCAUCUAAAAAAAUUCAUAGUUGCAUACCGGUCAACGAAGUAAGAUCCAACUUUUGAGUCUUGACUAAUAGUCUCAAUUAGAAAAUACGCAUGUGCGUUGCGGCAGGAACAACUGUUUCAUGAGUAACUGCAUGAAUAAGACACAUUUAACAUGAAUAAAUUUAACACAAGCAUGAAUGAACAGAAGAACACAUGAGUGAACGAGGUCGAUAAGAUAAGCAGAACUUAUGUAAUCAUGUUAACUACAAACUGAGAAAUGACUUUCUUUCCUGCAUAAAAUUUUACUAAAGAAACAGAACUUACGUAAUCACGUUAACUACAAACUGCACUACAAAAAAUUUGAAGUAUUUCCAAAUAUGUUGAAAUCUGAAAGGAAAAAGAUGAUAAUUCUUCUGACCGCAAAAGAUUAUACAAUAAACAUAAGAUGGUGUGAUCUCAUAAAACUUAGUAUUUAGGAGAAAGGAAGAUAUAAACAUACGCAAUCCGCUUCAGACUUGCCAAAUAGAUCUCAUAAAACUCAGUAUUUAGGAGAAAGGAAGAUAAUCUUGCCAAAUAGAUCUCAUAAUAGAUCUCAUAAAAUUCAGUAUUUAGGAGAAAGGAAGAUAAUCUUGCCAAAUAGAUCUCAUAAAACUCAGUAUUUCUAAUUCGUUUUCAGACUUGCCAAAUGUAAUCUCAUAAAACUCAGCAUUUAGGAGAAAGGAAGAUAAUCUUGAAACAUAAACUUAACCAUCAAAUUCAGUUCUUAAAACCAAAAGAAAAGAUUAUGGUUUCUUAGGGCUUGUUUGGUAAUGUACUUGAAUCAAACUUUUUAAACUCAAAAAUAAUUUUCAAGUUUUAGGCCUUAAAAACUUGUUUGGUAGGACUAUUUUCAAAAACUGAACUCAAGACUAACUAAAAAAUAUAGUUUAUUAUUUAAAAACAUAAAAAGUGAGUUUUUAGAGUUUUUAAACUUAAACUCACUUCUUUCUUUUCUCUUCCUCCUCCACUCUCACUUCAAAUCUCUCUCUUUUCUUCUUUCUCUAUCCUUUUUUUUUUUAUCUUUUUCAUCUCUCAUCCAAUUCGCUCUCUUUAUUCUUUAGGUUCUUUUUCUCACUCAUCUUCCUCUUUAUCUCCUCCGAUUCUCUCUCCUUUCUUUUUCCUUAAAUCAUCUCUUACUUUCUUUCCUCCUCUCUCUCCUCUUUCUACCUCUCUUGCAACCCCCUCUUUUUAGAUCGCUUUGUUAUAGUUUAAGUCGUAAGAUUUAAAAUUUUUAAAUUAGAAACCAAUCAAGUUUUUGAGUCAUCAAAAAAACUAUUUUCAAUAAAUGUUCUUAAAAAAUGUUUUGAGAAAUGAUAAAAAUUUUCAAAUAGGAUACCAAACAAGCCCUUUGUUUCUUACCCAAAUCCACCAAUUUGAAUCAAAUUUCUGCAGCUCAGCUUGAAAUCUGUUUGAAAUGACCUCCAUGAACACGAAUCUUGUACAUGCAAAACACUUUAGAUGAAGUUGUGAGAAUGGGUGGUGAUGAAAUUGAAGAAACCACCAAAUUCCAAACAAAUUUUAGACGAUUUUAACACUCAUAAAAGUGUUUCAGAAUCCACAAGUUUAAACGAAAAACUGUAUAAAAUCAUGAAAAAUUUAAUAAAACCCAAUUAUAUGAAUCACUCUUCCCGAAAACAAGACAUUUAAUGCAGAAAGCUCAAACUAUAACAAUUGAUGAACCAAAUAUUUUCAAUUGAAUUUAUCUCUUCAAUUGGUAGGUAUUUUUGUUUAUCCUCGUAUCUUUCAAUUGCCACCCAAAACUAACAUCUGAGAGAGCCUUGCAAUUCUUAUCUUUAAAAGCAUGAAUGGUGAACUAAAUAAAAGAAUAAGAAUAUGCAAUGAACUAAAUAAAAACAGACUUUUUACAAACAUUAUUCGCACAAAAAUUAAAACUGUAUUGAGAAACUCACCAUCCCAUUUCACACAAAUGAUUUAUGAUGAUAAAACCAAUUGGUGGGUGCACUGAAAUAUAUUGACAGGCCCAUUAAAGGCACGAACAUCAUACAGUGAAUUGCACAUAAAGGACAACAUUAUCAAGUAUAUCUUGAGGUGGAAUUGGAUACGAUCAUUAUCAAGUCUUCAUCUCUGACACUAAGAGCACUCUGCAUCCUAGAAUUCCUCAUCUACCAUCAUAUAGCAGCUACUGCCGCUGAAGCAAUACCCAUGUCUGCUCAUACGCAUCGAAAAACAUAUCAUGCAUUCGUUAUACAUUUCUCUAUUAAUUAAUUAGCUAACUGAAUUUAAAAUUAGCUUCCAAACCAAAAAAGUUCUAAACUUUUAAUUUUGCAAUCACAUUCAGUUCUUCAUCUCUUACUCUAAAUCCCAAUUACAGAAAUAUCUAAACUUUACUUCAAUUUAAUAUUGUUUUCCCCAAAAACAGCACAAUCCCACAAAAAUAAAGUAAAAAAAAAAAACAACAACAAUAUACCAUGAAUUAAAUUAAAAUUCUCACCUCCACCUCCGGCAGAGCUUUCGCAUUCUCAACCUGUUGCAUUAAAAAAUAAAAAAUAAAAAAUAAAAAAUCAAAUCAAAUCAAAUUCAAGUAAAAAUAAAAAAGAGAACUUGAAUAUAGCAACCCUACUCCCCCUCUUUCUCCCUCUCUAGCUCUCCCUCUGCAAUUCACACGUGCACCCCCUCCCUCUGUAACCCUCCCCGUGAAACCCCUAAACCCCAUGCGUAGGCCCCAUAUCUUCUGGCUGUGACCUCAUGAAUAGUCCCCAUCACCUCGAUUCCAUCGAACCAUGGCCUCGGUCAAAUCGAAACCAACCAGAGCCCACUCCCCAUACCCCUACCACCCUCCCCAGUAUCACACCCCUGUGAUCUUCACCUUCAAUCUGUCCCAGGGAUUGGAUCUCCGAAAUAUUCUAUUCAUGAAGUACUUGAUAAAGAAACCCACUUUAGUUGGAUCAGUGAUCCCAGCGACUAUUAAAUUUUCAUAGUUUCCAGUGGCAACAUGCAUCCAUAGUUGGGGUUGUCACUUGAAAGCACCUGAGAAAUGAGACUUUAAUUUAUACGAUGAAACAUAUUAAACAGAUAGUGAGCACAGUAUAUAAAGUGAAACGAAAAAAAAAAGCCUUCUCACUGACAAUGCCUUUUCAGGUCAGAUAAAUGACUCAGAACUUGGAAGUAAAAUAUGGAAAUCACAACCCAAAACAUAGAUUAACAAAUGCUAUCAUUUCAGAUUUUCACAUACAAUAUAGCAGAUAAGGAAGAGUAAAGAAAAUUUGAGAGAAAUUCAAACAGAAUAAGGAUAACCACCUAUGCAUAGACUUACCAUUAUCACCAAUAAUAUUCCACAAAAGAUAUAUAUAUAUAUAUUUGGUGACAAUCAUACAUUUGAUUCCCACAAUAUUUCAUGUUUUGCAUCAAAAUUAGAAAUUAAAAAAAAAAAAACACAGAAGAAAAGGGCACCUCUUACUUUCCCUGCAGCUGCUUUUCAAAAGGCAAAAUGCUUUAGAUCCUAAAUACCAAGCAAAUAUAGAAGCGAUUCAACAAUUAUCAAAGAAAAUCAACCAUGCAAGGAACAAAACUUAAAAACUAAACAAUUAUCAAAACUUGUGAAGAACGCUAAAUCCAACUAAUUCGAAACAUAAAAGUAACCUGAAAGAGAUAAAACUUAUAAAUUCUAGGGGCUUUUAGAUCCAGGUCCAAAAACAUAGAGAGUUUUUAGGAGUGAGUCCAGUUAAUAAAUUAUAUGUUUUUAUUUCUUUUAUACUCAUUUUAUAUUUUCUAAAAAUAUUAAAAAUCAAUUAAAAUCUUUUAAUAUUAUGCAUUUUUCAACUUCAAAAUAUCUAAUUAAUAUCUUAUAACAAAAAAAAUUGAUAUACUAACAUAAAUCUAUCUACAAAACAUUCUACCCUAACUCAAGUAGCAAAUAUAUGAUUGUAUAUUAUACCUAUAAGUGAGAUAUGAAACCUAACUAAAAGGUAGAAAAAAACAUAAUAUACCUACAAGCAAGACACAUUAAUCUGUGACAGGUUGACUAUGAAAAAGAAUCUGUCAUAUAGGUAGAUAAAUACAAUUAACCUGUGAUAUAGGUUGACUAUAAAAAUUAAAAUAAAAUCUAUAAAUGGGUUAAAGCACGAGAAAGAACAUGAAAUAACAAAUAAAUAAAUAAAAAGAAAUAAUCAAAGAGAUAAUUAGGAAGAAAUUUGAUUUUUACAAUAAAUUUUUUCAUUUAAGAGAUAAUUAUUGAUAAUAAAAUAAUUAAAUUUAAAGAAUUGGACCUAUUCUAAUAAACUGAACUAUUCCUACUAUUGGCUCAAAAAAUUGGAGUUAUAUCAAGUUUCCCCUAAAUUCUAUAUCAAUUAUAAUCCUUUAGAGAAAAUCUCCAAUAUCCAUUAUCCAAUUAACCUAAUUGUAUUAAAAACCUAGCAAAUCUCCAUUCAAUUAAGCAAAUUUUGCAGUAAAUUAUCCAUUUUUCACAAUAAAGCAAUAAAAAGAUCAUGAGCAAGUAAAUCUGGACCACUACGAUCAAAAUUCCAGCAAUCAAUAACCAUGAUUAUAAAUUUUGACAAACUUACAGUUGCUACAGCAUUUGACAAUCAACAACAACAAUAACAAAGCCUUUUCCCACUAAGUGGGGUCAGCUAUAUGAAUCCUAGAACGCCAUUGCGCUCGGUUUUGUGUCAUGUCCUCUGUUAGAUCCAAGUACUCUAAGUCUUUUCUUAGAGUCUCUUCCAAAGUUUUCCUAGGUCUUCCUCUACCCAUUCGGCCCUGAAUCUCUGUCAUGUAGUCACAUCUUCGAACCGGAGCGUCAGUCGGCCUUCUUUGCACAUGUCCAAAUCACCGGAGCCGAUUUUCUCUCAUCUUUCCUACAAUUUCGGCUACUCCUACUUUACCUCGGAUAUCCUCAUUCCCAAUCUUAUCCUUUCUCGUGUGCCCACACAUCCCACGAAGCAUCCUCAUCUCCGCUACACCCAUUUUGUGUACGUGUUGAUACUUCACCGCCCAACAUUCUGUGCCAUACAACAUCGCUGGCCUUAUUGCCGUCCUAUAAAAUUUUCCCUUGAGCUUCAGUGGCCUACGACGGUCACACAACACGCCGGAUGCACUCUUACACUUCAUCCAUCCAGCUCGUAUUCUAUGGUUGAGAUCUCCAUCUAAUUCUCCGUUCUCUUGCAAGAUAGAUCCUAGGUAGCGAAAACGGUCGCUUUUUGUGAUCUUCGCUAGAUUGCUCCGGUCAUUAGUGUGGAUAAGUAUAUAAAUGGAUAGAGAUAGGAAAGCAAACACAAGAUGUACAUGGUUCACCCAGAUUGGUUACGUCCACGGAAUAGAAGAGUUCUCAUUAAUUGUGAAGGGUUUACACAAAUACAUAGGUUCAAGCUCUCAUUUAGUGAGUACAAGUGAAUGAUUUAGUACAAAUGACAUUAGGAAAUAUUGUGGGAGAAUGAUCUCGUAAUCACGAAACUUCUAAGUAUCAGAGUGUGGUGUCGUCUUGACUUGCCUUAUCUGUCUCAUAGGUAGAUGUGGCAUCUUCUCUGGAAGUACUCUUCCUCCAUCCAGGGGUGGUAUCUUUAACUGAUGGAGAUGCACAAGGUAAUGUAUCAAUUUCACUUGAAGCUUACUUGUAGUUUCAGGCUUGGUCAAGCGCGAUACAAACCAUGUAGUAGGAGUUCCCCAAGUCGCCGAGCUAGGGGGUCUGCUGAAAGAGGUGACAUACAAGGUAAGCAAUCAGAGCUCCGACUGAUUGUUCACCUUCUCCCCAUCUUGCAGCAGCAUGAAGGAUAAAGAGAAGAAAAAUUAGAAGAGAUGAUAUGAGAUACUUUUGCUUUUGAAGAAGUAACUUUCCACAGGCUUAUUCUUGAACUGAGCUGGAGGGUUUUCUGGUUUCCUCCAGAGUAUAAGGCCGACUGAAGAAUUUGAGGGUCAAAACAAGUCCAUCAAAUCUAGAGUACGUUCCACCCUACUGAUAUGGAAUACUUUUGCUUUUGACAGAGUAAUGGAUGUAUCGGCAUGUGUGCUGUUACGCUUGUCUCCACAUGCUUCCUUGUAUCCUUCGCACUUGCCCUAUCUGUUCCUCAAGCAGAUGCGGAAUCUUCCCUGGAAACAUAAGAUGUUGAAGAUGAGUACUCGAGAGCAAUGCCAGGUAAGUAAUCAGGUAAGGGGUUCCAGGCAGUCAGUUCCUGGCUGGAAGCUUGAUUCCAAGUGCUGACUGAUUGCUCUCUUUCUCCUUGUCUUGCAGGUAAAAACAAGGCCAAAGGAAAAGACAGGGAAAAAGCAUGAUAUGAGAUACUCUUGCUUUUAACCCUGAUGAUAUGAGAUAUUCUUGCUCUAGUAUAGCUUGUUUGCAGAGGUAUUAUCGGGGGGAAAGAAAGCUGAAUAUUUCGAAAGGCUUCGUUGGGAGUGCCCUCUCAGAUAUGAUGAAGGGUUGAGCAUUUUUGCAGGUCUGCCUGUCCGUUGGGGAUGGAGGUCGACAUAUAUAGGAGUCUCCCUAACAACAAGUAGUAAUGCUAUUCCUUUACCCUGCUUGGUCAUAGCACGGUAGUGGGAGCUGCCAGUUUCACAUGUUUUAACUCUGUCAGAGCACUUUGAAAAAGUGGUCUGUGGUAUCUGGCUCUCGAGAUUCGGAGAACGAUGCCUCUUCGAUUUUUGAGAAAGCAAUCAUGCUGGGGGUCUGGCUCUCGAGAGCAGUGUCUCUUCGAUUUUUGAGGAAGUAAUCAUGUUGGGAGUCUGGCUCUCGAGAUUCGGAGGGCGGUGCCUCUUCGAUUUUGGAGCAAGCAAUCUUGUUGGGAGUGUUGUCUCGAAUGUGAGUAAAGGUUGGGCAUGUUUGCUAGUCUACCUUGCCACGAAGCACAAAGGUUGACACACAGGGACUUUCCAAUUAUCCAGCAAUGGUACUGUUCCUUUACCCUCUCUUCGAUUUUGAGAAAGUAGUUAUGUUGGGAGUCUGGCUCUCGAGAUUCGGAGGACGGUGCCUCUUCGAUUUUGGAGCAAGCAAUCUUGUUGGGAGUGUUUUCUCGAAUGUGAGUAAAGGUUGGGCAUGUUUGCUAGUCUACCUUGCCACGAAGCACAGAGGUUGACACACAGGGACUUUCCAAUUAUCCAGCAGUGGUAUUGUUCCUUUACCUUUGUGGGUAAUAAUAUGGUAGCUAGACCUUCAAAAUUUAUGUGUCUAAACUUUGUUAGUGCUGUUUCUUUGCUAUUCUUUUACCUUUCUUGGUCAGAGCGAUGUAGUGGGAGCUGCAAGCUUCACGUGCUCAACUUUGGCAGAGAACUUUGGCAAAGUUAUCUGUGGUACCCAUGAGCUAUUGUUGCGUGUGGGAAGUGGGUGAUUGAACAGUAAGAUUCAUGUGCUUUCUACUUCACAAGAAGUCUUCGACAGAAUGCCCAUAAUUUCUGCAAAGCUGAGUGUGCGUGUGACAGGUGCUGAUAAGGCUAGAAAAGUAGGUGCCUCUUCGAUUUCUGAGAUCGGCCUUUGUGGUCUCUGAGCAGCCCAGCUUUUGAGAAAGCGAGCGCCUCUUCGAUUGAUUCGGAGAACGAUGCCUCAUCGAUUUUUGAGAAAGCAAUCAUGCUGGGGGUCUGGCUCUCGAGAUUCGGGGAGCAGUCUCUUCGAUUUUUGAGAAAGUAAUCAUGUUGGGAGUCUGGCUCUCGAGAUUCGGAGGGCGGUGCCUCUUCGAUUUUGGAGCAAGCAAUCUUGUUGGGAGUGUUUUCUCGAAUGUGAGUAAAGGUUGGGCAUGUUUGCUAGUCUACCUUGCCACGAAGCACAGAGGUUGACACACAGGGACUUUCCAAUUAUCCAGCAAUGGUACUGUUCCUUUACCCUCUCUUCGAUUUUUAAGAAAGUAGUCAUGUUGGGAGUCUGGCUCUCGAGAUUCGGAGGACGGUGCCUCUUCGAUUUUGGAGCAAACAAUCUUAUUGGGAGUGUUUUCUCGAAUGUGAGUAAAGGUUGGGCAUGUUUGCUAGUCUACCUUGCCACGAAGCACAGAGGUUGACACACAGGAACUUUCCAAUUAUCCAGCAGUGGUACUGUUCCUUUACCCUUGUGGGUAAUAAUAUGGUAGCUAGACCUUCAAAAUUUAUAGGUCUAAACUUUGUUAGUGCUGUUUCUUUGCUAUUCUUUUACCCUUCUUGGUCAGAGCGAUGUAGUGGGAGCUGCAAGCUUCACGUGCUCAACUUUGGCAGAGAACUUUGGCAAAGUUAUCUGUGUGUUUUCUACUUCCCCAGAAGUCUUCGACAGAAUGCCCAUAAUUUCCGCAAAGCUGAGUGUGCGUGUGACAGGUGCUGACAAGGCUGGAAAAGUAGGUGCCUCUUCGAUUUCUGAGAUCGGCCCUCGUGGUCUCUGGGGAGCCCAGCUUUUGAGAAAGCGAGCGCCUCUUCGAUUUCUGAGAUCAGCCUUCGUGGUCUUUGAGCAGCCCAACUUUUGAGAAAGCAAACGCCUCUUCGAUUUCUGAGAUCAACCCUCGUGAUCUCUAAGCAGCCCAGUUUUUGAGAAAGCAAACGCCUCUUCGAUUUCUGAGCAGGCGCCUCUUCGAUUUCUGAAGCUCCGUCGAGUGCAGAUUUUUAUAGGGGCUGGCAUUAAGUUCCAAAGCACACACUUGAAUCUCCACCAGUAGAAGCUUCAUUCUUGCACUUCUAAGAUCUUGAUUUGUCCGACCUUUUCUCUCUUCAACACCUUUGAAAAUGUCUGGCCCCUCCGACCGUCGUUUUGACUUGAACCUUGUUGAAGAGGCAGCCCCGCCUUCUCCAGACAACAUAUGGCGCCCAUCCAUUCGUCUCCCCUACUGGUCCUCUUACCGUUGGGGAUUCCGUGAUGAAGAAUGAUAUGACCGCUGCGGUGGUGGCCAGGAACCUUCUCACUCCCAAAGAUAACAGACUACUUUCCAAACGGUCUGAUGAGUUAGCUGUUAAGGAUUCGCUGGCUCUCAGUGUUCAGUGUGCAGGUUCUGUGUCUAAUAUGGCCCAACGCCUAUUUGCUCGAACCCGCCAAGUUGAAUCAUUGGCGGCUGAAGUGAUGAGUCUUAAACAGGAGAUUAGAGGGCUCAAGCAUGAGAAUAAACAGUUGCACCGGCUCGCACAUGACUAUGCUACAAACAUGAAGAGGAAGCUUGACCAGAUGAAGGAAACUGAUGGUCAGGUUUUACUUGAUCAUCAGAGAUUUGUGGGUUUGUUCCAAAGGCAUUUAUUGCCUUCGUCUUCUGGGGCUGUACCGCGUAAUGAAGCUCCAAAUGAUCAACCUCUGAUGCCUCCUCCUUCUAGGGUUCUGUCCAGUACUGAGGCUCCAAAUGAUCCCCCUCCGGUGCCUUCUCUUUCUGGGGCUCUACCGACUGCUGAGACUUCUCCUAAGCAACCUUUGUGAAGGCUCCCUCUUGUGUGUUUAUUUUGACUCAUGUAUAUGUACAUAUUUGUAGCUUAUCGGGGAUAUCAAUAAAUAAGCUUUCCUUCAUUUCAACGUAUAUUGUGUUAAAUACACCAAAGCCUUCUUCGCUAAGUUCUUUGAAUUUUCUUUUGUUGAAGCUUGUAUGUUGAAGCUUUCUGAGUGGAGCAUGUAGGUUGGGGUAGUGUUCCCUUAAUUUCCCGAGUGAGGAAAACUUCUCGGUUGGAGACUUGGAAAAUCCAAGUCACUGAGUGGGAUCGGCUAUAUGAAUCUUAGAACGCCAUUGUGCUCGAUCUUGUGUCAUGUCCUUCGUUAGAUCCAAGUACUCUAAGUCUUUUCUUAGAGUCUCUUCCAAAGUUUUCCUAGGUCUUCCUCUACCCCUUCGGCCCUGAACCUCUGUCCCAUAGUCGCAUCUUCUAAUCGGAGCGUCAGUAGGCCUUCUUUGCACAUGUCCAAACCACCGUAACCGAUUUUCUCUCUCAUCUUUCCUUCAAUUUCGGCUACUCCUACUUUACCCCGGAUAUCCUCAUUCCUAAUCUUGAUCCUUUCUCGUGUGCCCCACACAUCCAACGAAGCAUCCUCAUCUCCGCUACACCCAUUUUGUGUACGUGUUGAUGUUUCACCGCCCAACAUUCUGUGCCAUACAGCAUCGCCGGCCUUAUUGCCGUCCUAUAAAAUUUUCCCUUGAGCUUCAGUGGCAUACGGCGGUCACACACAACACGCCGGAAUGCACUCUUGCACUUCAUCCAUCCUAGCUUGUAUUCUAUGGUUGAGAUCUCCAUCUAAUUCUCCGUUCUUUUGCAAGAUAGAUAGAUCAUAGGUAACGAAAACGGUCGCUCUUUGGUAUUAUUUCUUGAUCUCCGAUCCUCACCCCUAACUCGUUUUGACCUCUAUUUGCACUGAACUUGCACUCCAUAUAUUCUGUCUUUGAUCGGCUUAUGCGAAGACCUUUAGAUUCCAACACUUCUCUCCAAAGGUUAAGCUUUGCAUUUACCCCUUCCUGAGUUUCAUCUAUCUAUCAACACUAUAUCGUCUGCGAAAAGCAUACACCAAGGAAUAUCAUCUUGAAUAUGUCCUGUUAACUCAUCCAUUACCAACGCAAAAAGGUAAGGACUUAAGGAUGAGCCUUGAUGUAAUCCUACAGUUAUGGGAAAGCUUUCGGUUUGUCCUUCAUGAGUUCUUACGGCAGUCUUUGCUCCUUCAUACAUAUCCUUUAUAGCUUGGAUAUAUGCUACUCGUACUCCUUUCUUCUCUAAAAUCCUCCAAAGAAUGUCUCUUGGGACCCUAUCAUACGCUUUUUCCAAAUCUAUAAAGACCAUGUGUAAAUCAUUUUUCCAAUUUCUAUAUCUUUCCAUCAAUCUUCGUAAGAGAUAGAUUGCCUCCAUGGUUGAGCCCUGGCAUGAACCCGAAUUGGUUGUCCGAAACCCGUGUCUCUUGCCUCAAUCUAUGCUCAAUGACUCUCUCCCAGAGCUUCAUUGUAUGACUCAUUAGCUUAAUACCCCUAUAGUUCAUGCAAUUUUGUACGUCGUCCUUAUUCUUGUAGAUAGGCACCAAAGUGCUCGUUCGCCACUCAUUUGGCAUCUUCUUCGUUUUCAAAAUCCUAUUGAAAAGGUCAGUGAGCCAUGUUAUACCUGUCUCUCCCAAAAGUUUCCACACUUCGAUUGGUAUAUCGUCUGGGCCUAUUGCUUUUUUAUGCUUCAUCUUCUUCAAAGCUACAACCACUUCUUCCUUCCGGAUUCGACGAUAAAAAGAGUAGUUUCAACACUCUUCUGAGUUACUCAACUCCCCUAAAGAAGCACUCAUUUCAUGUCCUUCAUUGAAAAGAUUAUGAAAAUAACCUCUCCAUCUGUCUUUAACCGCGUUCUCUGUAGCAAGAACCUUUCUAUCCUCAUCCUUGAUGCACCUCACUUGGUUUAGGUCCCUUGUCUUCUUUUCCCUUGCUCUAGAUAGUUUAUAGAUAUCCAACUCUCAUUCUUUGGUAUCUAGUCGUUUAUACAUAUCGUCGUAAGCCGCUAACUUAGCUUCUCUGACAGCUUUCUUCGCCUCUUGCUUCGCUUUUCUAUACCUUUCACCAUUUUCAUCGGUCCUCUCCUUGUAUAAGGCUUUACAACAUUCCUUCUUAGCCUUCACCUUUGUUUGUACCUCCUCAUUCCACCACCAAGAUUCCUUUUGGUGUGGGGCAAAGCCCUUGGACUCUCCUAAUACCUCUUUUGCUACUUUUCGGAUACAACUAGCCAUGGAAUCCCACAUUUGGCUAGCUUCCCCCUCUCUAUCCCACACACAUUGGGUGAUUACCUUCUCUUUGAAAAUGGCUUGUUUUUCUUCUUUUAGAUUCCACCAUCUAGUCCUUGGGCACUUCCAAGUCUUGUUCUUUUGUCUUACUCUUUUGAUAUGUACAUCCAUCACCAACAAGCGAUGUUGAUUAGCCACGCUCUCUCCUGGUAUAACUUUGCAAUCCUUACAAGUUAUACGAUCCACUUUCCUCAUUAGAAGAAAAUCUAUUUGUGUUUUUGACGACCCACUCUUGUAGGUGAUCACAUGUUCUUCUCUCUUCUUAAAGAAGGUGUUGGCUAAGAAGAUAUCAUAUGCCAUUGCAAAAUCCAAGAUAGCUUCCCCAUCCUCGUUUCUCUCCCCAAAACCAUGGCCACCAUGAAAACCUCCAUAGUUGCCUGUCUCCCUGCCCACGUGUCCAUUUAAAUCUCCUCCUAUAAAUAACUUCACCGUCUGAGCAAUUCCUUGCACCAAGUCUCCAAGAUCUUUCCUGGAGCCGCAGAUGUUCUAUCAAAAAAAUGAGUAAUCGAAUUAGUUGAUUAAAUUUACAGAAGAAGAGAGAGAAGAGGGGAAUGGAGGAGAACAGCAGAAGGAGAUGAAAUCAGAUUCAGAGUUUGAGAGUCAAUUGCUGAAUUUAGAUGAACUGACCUUUUCGAUCACAUACAGUCAAACUGGAAUGCACAGGGAGAAGCAGAAGAAGAAAAAGAAGAUGGAGAGGGGGUGGUCAAUAGCUUAUCGAGGUCGGAGUUGACAAAAAUCAACAAAGCCAUGCGCGAUUUCGUCGUUGUGAGCUGUGAGAGAGAAUACGAUGGUCACAUGACUCAAUGUGACAUCCAGAAAACUUAGUACUACAACACUAAACUUAAAAGGAAAAGUACAGAAGAAUCGAAACCAUUAUAAUUCCUUACAUGAUACUGAAUGUCUGUUAGUUAGAAGAGCCCAAGAAGCAAUUGUUCCAUCUGCUAGCAAUCGGCAUAUCCCAGAUCCAUCUGCCAAAGAUAUACACCAAAUUAGAUGGAAACACAAAAGAGUAAAUUGGUGGGGCUAGCCAGCCUUCAUUCUAGAGGCGGUUUAGCGGCUCACUACUAAUUAACAUUGCCAACAUUCAUUUCUUUUUGUAUUUCAUUUAGUUAAACUUCCGACAUGGGAUUUUAACAUUCUCCAGCCCCAAUAGCAUCAAUCAACACAAUACCACAAACCCAAAACUGUGCAUAAAAGAACAGAAAUCAAUGACUGAUUACAAAUUAACAUGAGGGCAGUAAAAGCUAAUAAUGCAGGUUGAUUUCCACAUUGUUAGCAUGAUAAAUAUUGUCAUUGCACACUUGUGCACCAGUUAAAGCAGGAUAUUAUGUCUUUCUUGUAUCAUCCACUCUCUUGCUAGUCCUAGUUUUUUUGCGCAUUGCAGUUAUAAAUUAACAUUGCCAAGCAAUAAAUUGAUAAAAAGGAAGGGGGAAGAUACAACCAAGCCACCUAUAGACCAACCAAGCAAAACCUGAUGCAAACAAAUAUACAAAUAAGCAAACUUCAAAAGAUACAAUAGCAAAAAACCAAACACAUAUAACCAGAAUCUAAGAACAUUUUAAUGACAAAAAAGAAAACUGACCUUUUGCGUGGAGGCAAUGAGAAAAUAUAGAGAAGCAGACCAACUAUUUGAAAAGGUAAAAACAAAAGACUGAAAUCAAACAAUGAUAUAUCGAUCACCAAAAUAAAUGUACAAUAUCUUUCAAAUUUGAUGAUAAAUUUACAUGCAAUAAGUCGCAUUAUCACUCGUACAACUAACAUACUUCCUAUAUUAGACCACACAACACAUGCACCAUAAUCACUUCAUUGGUGCUCUGCCUCAUUUGCAAAUGUAGUUUUAUCUCCACUGAGUUUCUACAUGCAUGGGAACAUAUGUUUUUCUUGUUAAUUUGAAUAGAUUAUAAACUGUUUAACUAAUUUCUGGGAUUCAUAUCUGUAAUAUCAAACUAUAUCAGUUGGAUUUUAAUGGUAAGUAAAACAGUUGUAUAAUGAACAAACAAUGAAAGAAGGAAGCCAAAUAAUGACAAUGAAAAGAAGAGAAUUCCAACACAUUGAGAAUAUUAGUUUUAGAUUUUGAGAACAGAUUUAUUCCAUUACCUUUUACCUUUCCUCUCUUUUAGCAACAGACAAUAGUCAUUAAAUUUCUUCUCAUGGCGUGUGUGCUGUGAGCUUGGCGAAGCCAUGUGACCUUAAUUUCUUUUCUUUUUUUUGGGAAAAAAUUAUACAAAUGGUACGGUUUCAACUGUACAUGUUUAACCUCAGUGUUUUUCAAUUUCAGUUUUACCUUUACCAUCCAUUUAUUUUCCUAUCCAAAAUGUUUAGAAAAAUAAAUCUAUAGCUGCUAACAGUCUAUAUGCUUCAUGCUGUCAGACUCUGCAAUCUAAAAAUUCAUGUAAAUGCAGAGGUUUGGCUGAAGGAGAGGCAUCGAAGACAUCCAGAAAUCCUUCCAUGGCAAACUUAGUUGUACACCCAUGGCGUGUGUGUUGUAUGCUAGAUGCCCCCUCUCUUUUAACAACACACAAUAGCUUAUGCAAAUGCAAAGAGACUUCAACAUGUUUCAUUUAAAAUAAGUUUACAUUUUGUAGCAAAUGCAUAUGGCGAAAUAGUCUAUAAGUAAUCAUACUGGCAACCAAACAGAACAGUUCAAAAACUUCAAUGGAAAUAUAAAUUGCAGAAAAAAAAAACUUGAAUUUCCAAACCCACAAAAUAAAAAAUUCAACCAGGUUAAAUGUGUAAGAAGAAAUACCAAGAACUGAGAGCUGCAGACAAUCAAAAUGCUCAUGAUCUUGGUCAAGCUGAUGAAAUCCAAAUAUGUACUUUCAUGUCCUCCUCCUUGGUCAAUUCCUUGAGAAGCUUCGAUAUCGCCAACAAUGUCUCCUCUUCGUGGCCGUGGCCAUGGUCGUGCCAACUGCCAUGGAUCUUUCUCCUUCUAACCAGACACCACUUCAACCCUUUCUCCUUUCAAACUUACCUUUCAUCAUCUGCAUUAACAGAAACAAUAACUUUUGUCAGUGCAUUCAAACCAAACCCAUAAAUCAACUGCAAAUCACAAAUUUACCCAAAAAAAUCCCGCAAAGACCCAAACUCCCCGAAAAUUACCAUAUUAGCACUCCCUCCACCCCAAAAUCAGAAAAUUAGAAAACAGAAUAUGAAACAUUGUACGUAGAAAGCAAGGAAUCGAUAAUUUAGGAGGUUUCCCAGGACAAGAAUGAGCUUUUAAAUAUCAUAUUCCCAUAUGGAUGCACAAAUACAGAGAGACUACAGAGACCAUUUGAUGAAAAAAAAUAGAGACGCUCAGAGACUCAACAGACACUAUUCAUAGAUCCAUGACUUAGAAUUUCUCAGAUCCGGUUGAAAUUAAUAAAAAAAAAAUUAGGGAUGUGAAUUUAUACCUCUGAUAGUCUGAGCUCCGUUCCCCUUAUUCCUUUGCCGGCUUGGGGCAAACUUGAGGAGAUCGGUGAUUAGGGGAUACGAAUUCAAAAUAAAAUUUUCUAGUAGUAAUCGUCGCUGCUGCAGUAGUCAUCGUCCUCGGAUUCCAUCGUUGUCUGACCACAAAAACCUAACGGCGGCUGGAGAACCACAGAACAACCAAGAGUAAAAAAGGGAGUGCGGGAGAGAGAAGCAGCCAAAAUACAGAGAAGAUGGCAAGAGAAAGGAGAAAUGGAAAGCAGACAAACAAAAAGUAACAUGGGUGCUAGCCAAUUUCCCAAACCCCACUUCUGCUAAAGCUACAUGCUAUUGAUUAUGAUUAAAAACUAAAUUAAUCAUACCAUUAAUCGCUAAUAAAUAAUGGGUUAUGUUUGUUUUCAUGAAUUCAGGCUCAAAAUACGAACUAUAAAUCCAAAAUUUGAAAUUUAAUUGCUUUAUCUCCUUACCCGAUAGAGCCAGACGAUUACUGAUCACUAAGCAUCCAAUUCUUGAAAACUACCGAAAUCAAAACAACAACUUCCACUCAAUUUCUGAGCAACAGAAAGAUCAAGCCAAAUCAAAACCAACAACUUUCAACUAAAUUGCACAAAAGAGUCAAAAUUUAAUUGCUAUACAGAACUAUCGGUUCAAUUGAAAACAAUUAGAAUUCGAGAACCUACCUCCUCCAUUCUCUGAGAGCGAAGCCCUCCUCAGGCAGCAUCUCCGAUGGAGCCGCCAAAAUCGGAUCGUCGGACCCGCCAAACCCUCCAUCAAAGCCCCGGCCGUUCGAUUCAGCGUAGAUCAACGGAGGAGAGAAGGCCUGCGAUGCCGGCUGAGUGACGAAAGCGUUGUCUACAGCAGAGCUGUGGAAGAUUGGGGAAUCGGUGGCGGAGUCCUUGAGCGACUCAGAGUCGACAAAGGAGUCGAAUAGCUGGGAGGAGAGUUGGGGGUCGUAGCCCAGGUAACCGUUGUGCAGGUGUGUUGAGGGUUCUUGAGUUAAUUGAAAAAUUAAACUUGCAACUGCUUUACAAACCUGAGAGUCAGUAACUGGUAAAACAUGAGCUUGUACUGGCGAAAGCCAUAAUGGAAAAUCCCCGGCAUAAUGCUCUCUAAGGACCCCAAAAAAUCGCUUCAAUGACCCAAGAACAGCUCUAUGAAUCAUGAUAGGCCGCUUCUUUUCAGAGUUUGAGUCAGCAUAUGUUAAGUCAAAACGCUGUGGUCGGUUAAAAUCAACCUGUACAAUUUGGGAAAUACAAAAGAUCAAACAAUUUAAAAUAACAAUAAUAAGUGGCUUUAGUCUAUCAAACAAAUCCAUGUAAUUCGCUCAAUUCAAAAAAGAUGCUCAAAUCUCCAAUGAACAUUUUACAAAGUGACACAGAGAUAGACGGAGAGACUACCAAUUAAAAAACAAAGCACACAUUAGAAUUAUCCCGUCAUGAGUUUAGGAUUAACCUGUAUAGUUGAGCACUGCCACUUCCUUCCAAGGGCAUCCUCCACUUAAGAUCAAUCCUUGGACCAUAAAAGGCACCACCACCUUCAUCAAUUGGAUAGCUCCAACCUUUAUCAUCCAAAGCAUCUCUAAGGGCAGAUGUUGCUUUCACGGUUUCACCCAUAUAUCAUCAUCUCCAACAGCUUUCUCUCGCCUCGUAGAGAGAUUGACCUCAUAUUUGCUGAAGCCGAAUUGCAACAAAAGUUCUUCGGUAAGAUCUAGGACACCCCUAAUUUCAUCUUUGAUCUGAUCUUCUGGACAAAAUAUAUGGGCAUCAUCCUGCAACAGGUCCCGAGAUUAUAAACUAACAGUUUGCAAAUACUAACACCAUACCUGAGUAAAACCUCUUACAUGAAAAAGACCAUGCAAGCUUCCAGAUAAUUCGUAUCUAUAUACGGCUCCCAACUCAGCAACUCGAAUAGGAAAUUCAUGAUAUGAGUGAGGCUUCCUUUUGUAAACCAAGAUAUGAUAGGGGCAGUUCAUCGGUCGAAGCUGAUAAAGUUCAUCCUCAACAUUCAUUUGAUCAUACAUAUUCUCCUUGUAGUAAUCCAGAUGACCACUUAUCUGCCAAAGGUUCGCCUUUGCAACAUGUGGAGUAUACAGCAGAUCGUAACCACGUUCUAUGUGGAUCUUUUUCCACAAAUCUUCCAUUACAUGCCUCACAAUAGUACCCUUUGGAUGCGAGAACACUAAACCCCCACCAGCAUCAUUCUGUGAAAAUUCAACAAUGAAAAUGUUCAAUGCAAGAAUCCUCAUAAUUACAAAUAAUGGGAUUGCUAACUGAUAAAUCUGCGUAAACAGCAGAAAGAGAUUCAGGGCAAUUCUGAGUACCUGUAUAGAAAACAGGUCAAGAACUUGACCAAGGCGCCUGUGAUCUCGACGUUUAGCUUUCUCAUUGAAAUGCCUUCAAUUGAUCUUCACUCUCCCAUGCAGUGCCAAAGAUCCUCUGCAGCAUCGGUUUCUUUUCAUCUCCUCUCCAGUAGGCACCAGCAAUAGACUCAAGUUAGACAACUUUUCUGUUAAUACUUCCAGUUUUUUCAACAUGGGGCCCCGCACAUAGGUCCCACCAUUCAUCACCUAUGAAGAAUUCGGCAUACUAUGAAUGUGUGGGAUUUGAUCGAAUAGGACAUGGAAAAAUGGGUGUACAGCAGUAGAUAUGCUGCGAAAAUUUUCGUCCUGCUUUUGGGAAUGUGAGAAGAUACAUGGGUUUCUAUAUUUUGAUAAGGUGUUGAGGUCGAGCUAUGUUCAUUUUUUUUCUGAAUUUCCUUGUAGUUUGGUAUUAAUGGCGCCUUUUUUUUUUGGAAGACGGGAUUAUAUAUCAUCCGGGCAAAGAUGUCAAAGGAAUACAAGGAGGCAAACAACCAAUACAAGGAAAGGGUAGAGCAAGGAGGUAACAAGAACUAAGACACCGCACCUAGUGCUACAGCGUCCUUCCUCGCACUACCAACACAAUUAAUGCGGACAGGGAAGUCCGUCAUUACACAAAACAUGAACAAGGGAGGAUGGGGGUCUAUCGACCCACGUAAAAUCACAUACCUCCUUACAACGCCGCGAAGCCAAAAGGUCCGCUGCCACAUUGGUCGACCUUGGAACCCAAGACCAGCGGCAAUCUUGAAAGCCACUUCCCAUAAUACUACAUCUCGCAAUAAUCGGGAAGGCUUCCCAGCUGCCCUUCCUUGUUGCGUCCUUCAAACAAGAAAUAGACUCCAGAGAAUCAGACUCCACCAUUAUCAAGUUCCACCCUCUGUUCAUACCCAGCUUACAUCUAUGCAAGAUAGCUUUCGCCUCCAUCAAUGCCACGCUUGUGGCUUUCUCUUUGAACCUGCAGGCAGCCAAGAACCUGCCCUCCUCAUCUCGAGCCACAGCUCCCGUAAAAUCCAGGCCGUCCGAUGCGCACCAGCUGGCAUCCACGUUAAUCUUCACGAAACCCCCACUUGGAGGAGACCAACCAGCGGCAAAGCUAGAUUCCAUAGGAAUGGCAACCUCGGGGUUGGGUUGGAUUGACCAGGCAUCCCUGAACGUUGUUGUCGAGUGAGAAAUAGCGGCAAGAACCUGUGAAGUUUUCCCUCACCAAAUCCCACACAGCCGGCGAUCCUACACAGCGAUUAUCAACGUGUGGAUGGCAAAAUCGAAAAGUCCAAUUUGAACGGAAAUUCCAGCCCAAAGACCCAAAACCCUUUCUGAAGCCCAGAGGCAAUUUGCAAAUAACGUUAAAUCAGGGGGCAGAGAGACUCAGUGGCAAUUUCGUAAAUAAACUGAAAUAUACCCCAAGAUUGCACAGUGCCACCUCCCCCUACUUUAGACUAAAGUAAUUAUAAUUUUCUGACAGACAAAAUUCAUAUUACAUAAUUUUUCAUUUUUUUUCAAAUAUUAUAUAGAAAUGUAUAUGGCUACAACUUUUUAUCUAAUUAUUUGUUAUUUUUGGAUUAAUUUGCAAUUUUAGGUUUAUAUGUUACUGAUUUUGUUUGUCUAUCUCUAAAAUUCAUCUUCACUCCCUAACAAAAAAAAAACACUAUCUUAAUUUAAGAAUAACAGAUGUCGAAGAAAACAUACAAAAUCACAAUAAAACAAUUAGCAUUUAAAUAGGAAAAGAAGGAAAAGAAGGAUUCCGAUAUUUAUUUCAUUCCCUAAGAAAAGCUUCAAGGUAAAAAAUCACCGAAUUUUAAAGCUGAAUCCGACACAUUUCCUAGUGUUUUUAACUGUUAGACAUAAAACCUUAGAUCUCAAAACCAACAGUUUUCAUUCGUUCAAAAAGAAUAAACAAACAACCAAUACAAAACCAUGGACUUUAUUAUCUUCAAUGUUCAAAAACUCUCAAAACUUUUUAAGUUCGAAGCCCUUUUUUUUACUGAGGGAUCAUUUUAAAUUAAAAAAUUAUGCAAAGAAUCUUUGGCUAGUCCAAUCGAAUUGUAGACUGAACGAAUAACUAGAUUAAUGGAAAAAAUUGCAAAGCCAAUAUCCAAACUCAUAAUCUAUAUUUCAUCAAACUGUGAGCAUCAUCGUUCUCAGGUUUGAGAUUGGAAGAUGGUGAUGUUCGUAAACUUGUAGAGGAGAAGAGCUAACCAACGAGUGAGACAUUAUUUACACCAUGCAUCCAUUGACACAUGGACCCGUGAGGUGUACAAUGGUGUGCAAUGCAAGGAAAGAGACAAAGUAUGCAUACUAUUGAGAAAUUUUUCAGUAUGCUGAAAAUACAGCUCAGUACACCAAGUUUCAUAAUAUAAUUAGUUGAUUUUUUUUUUAAAUUUCCAAUCAAUUGUAUUAUUACACUUGAUGUAUCGAAAUGUGUUUCCGAUACACAGAAAAAUUUCUAGCAUACUACUUCCAUAGACCCUGCAACAAAUGGCAAAGCAGCAAAUACUCACCAAGAAAGAGGUCAAACUUGGUAAUUUACCCCAUGAAAGUAUGCCAUUUUCUCAGUUGGCAAAAAUUCUAGGAUAAUACUUUGUACUCACUAGAAUACUGAAUACCCUAUAUAAUCAUUUUUCAAUUUUUUUUUAUAUAAAAAAAGAGGGACAACUGGUGGCAAGUUAUGGUUAACCACCCCUUUUGGGCGUCGGGAAAAUUCACAGAGGCAUUUCAGCCUCCCCUUGGCCAUAAGUAUGGCUUCCACACCAGCAGCGGGUUUCGAACCCGAGACUUGCAGUUUUUAGUUUCAAUUUUGAGUUAAUAAUAUUUUAAUACAUAUUUUAUUAUUUUAAAAAAUAAUAGACAUAUUAUUUAAUUUGUCUUGAGCUUUAAAAACAAAGUAUCUUUUCAUUGGCGUGAACCGAAUGUGAUGUUUAUGGGUAGUUUGGUAACCAAAGUGGUGUUCUUUGAAAAAAAAAUUAAAACUAAAUUGUUUUAGUGAGAUGUCGAUAAAAACUAGGGUGAACCGAACGUACAUGCUUUUCGUUGUGAGAAAAAAAUUGUGUGGAGUUUAGUUGUCAUUAGGGAUGGGCAAUGGUUAUGGCGGGCGGGUAACCGCGGUUAUUUACCCAUAACCGUUCAUGCUCAUACCCGCAUAACCGUUUACCCGUUGGGUAAUUGCCUAAAUGGUUAUACACAUACCCAUAACCAUUUAUAAACGGUUAACCAUACCCAUAACCGCAUACCCAUUUAACCGUAACCGUUUAAUACCCGUUUACCCAUUUACGAUUUUUAACCCGUUUAUCUUUUUUUUUUUUUUUUACCAUUACCCAUUUUUCACCCGUCUACAUGUUUUUUAAGAACUUGAAAAUUUAAAAAAAAAUUGUCAUAAUUUUUUUUUUUUUACAAUUAAACACCGUUAUAGGUACAUUCAUCAUGCAUUUUCGUAUUUUAAUUUUUUAAAUCCUUAUACCAUUCCAAUAAUGGAAAUAAUUGCCGACAAAGACACAACGAGCACUCUUACGUCGGUUAUUUAUAUGCCAACGUAACGAGAGCAAUCCAUUUUCCAAUCUCUCCCCUAGAAAAAUAAAGAUUUUUAGGGAAUAGAACGAACCAAAAACACCGACAACAGGAAAUAUAUAACUUGUACAAUAACUAUGUGUAGAAAAUAACCCAAAGAUGUUGAACAAUAUUGAAGGAAGGGUAAAGAAAAUGUAGGGGGAUCAAUAGCCUUGUAAGAAUGUUCGAUUUCCAGUUUGUUCGAUCCAAGAUCAACAUAUAGCUACAGUAAACACAGAAACAAAUCUAAUGCAUGCAUACUGCAAGGGAAAUGAUUUCAGUGCGCUCCCAUUUUUUUUCUCACUUAAAUUUCUUUUGAUUUAUUCAAUUUAAGGAUAGAAAUACUGCACGGAUUAUCGUUUAUUACUUUUUAAUUAAUUAAAACAUCGCUAUAAAUCACAUUAUAGUCAAUAGCAUUGAUCUAAGUUUUGUCCAAUAGGGAACAUGGUUUGUGCUAAUUUUACAUAUAUAAAAUAAAUGGGUAAACGGUUACCCGUUUAUAACCGCGGUUAAUACCCAUAACCGCCCAUUUAAAUUUCGCAGGUAAACGGUUAUACCCAUAACCGUUUAUUUAUCUAAACGGUUACCCCAUAACCGUAACCGUUUAAUUUAAAUGGGCGGUUAACCGCGGUUACCCAUAACCAAUGGGUAUUUGCCCAUCCCUAAUUAUCAUUAAAUUUUGCCAAGUGACACUAGAACUCAGUUAAAACUCGACAUAUAGUAAGUUUUUAAAGUAUUGUCAACUAUUCUAAAUGUAUGAACAAUGAAUGAGCGAAGAAGAAGCUCUUAGAGAAAAAUAUGAGAGAAUAUGAAGUUUUGUAUAUAUUUUCAGAUGCCAUAAAUGGCAGUUUACAUUUGGUUUUAUAUAGAUGAAUUGAUAAGCUCAAUUACAAUAAUACCCUCCAACAAUUCUAACCAAUCUUACCCUUAUAACUACCUUAAGAUCAAGAGCGACUGAAGCAGAGGCUUGUGAGAGACAAGUUGAAACAGAAAGAAAAGUCGAGACGUUGUAGUUGAAGCAGACCUUUCGAUGAUGAUGGACACGUAACCAUCCCCUCACAAAAUCCUACACAGCCGGAGAUCCUACACAGUGAUAUUCCAGCCUAACAACCCAAAACCCUUUUUGAAGCCUAGUGGCAAUUUUGCAAAUAACGUUAAAUCGGGGGGCAGAGAGACUCAGUGGCAAUUUCGUAAAUAAACUGAAAUGUACCCCAAAAUUGCACAGUGCCACCUCCCCCUACUUUAAACUAAAGUAAUUAUAAUGCUAUGACAGACAAAUUCAUAUUACAUAAUUUUUCAUUUUUUUUCAAAAAUUCAUAUUACAUUUCCUAGUGUUUUUAACUGUUAGACAUAAAACCUUAGAUCUCAAAGUCAACAGUUUUCAUUCGUUCAAAAAGAAUAAACAAACAACCAGUACAAAACCAUGGACUUUAUUAUCUUCAAUGUUCAAAAACUCUCAAAACUUUUUAAGUUCGAAGCCCUCUUUUUACUGAGGGGUCCAAUUAAAUUAAAAAAUUAUGCAAAGAAUCUUUGGCAAGUCCAACCGAAUUGUAGACUGAACGAAUAACUAGAUUAAUGGAAAAAAUCGCAAAGCCAAUAUCCAAACUCAUAAUCUAUAUUUCAUCAAACUGUGAGCAUCAUCGUUCUCGGGUUUGAGAUUGGAAGAUGGUGAUGUUCGUAAACUUGUAGAGGAGAAGAGCUAACCAACGAGUGAGACAUUAUUUACACCAUGCAUCCAUUGACACAUGGACUCGUGAGGUGUACAAUGGUGUGCAGUGCAGGGAAAGAGACAAAGUAUGCAUACUAUUGAGAAAUUUUUCAGUAUGCUGAAAAUACAGCUUAGUACACCAAGUGUCAUAAUAUAAUUAGUUGAUUUUUUUUCUUUAAAUUUCCAAUCAAUUGUAUUAUUACACUUGAUGUAUCGAAAUGUGUUUCCGAUACACAGAAAAAUUUCUAGCAUACUACUUCCAUAGACCCUGCAACAAAUGGCAAAGCAGCAAAUACUCACCAAGAAAGAGGUCAAACUUGGUAAUUUACCCCAUGAAAGUAUGCCAUUUUCUCAGUUGGCAAAAAUUCUAGGAUAAUACUUUGUACUCACUAGAAUACUAAAUACCUUAUAUAAUCAUUUUUCAAUUUUUUUAAUAAAACAAGAGGAACAACUGGUGGCAAGUCAUGGUUAUCCACCCCUUUUGGGCGCCGGGAAGACUCACAGAGGCAUUUCAGCCUCCCCCUGGCCAUAAGUUUGGCUUCCACACCAGCAGCGGGUUUUGAACCCGAGACCUGCAGUUUUUAGUUUCAAUUUUGAGUUAAUAAUAUUUUAAUACAUAUUUUAUUAUUUUAAAAAAUAAUAGACAUAUGAUUUAAUUUGUCUUGAGCUUUAAAAACAAAGUAUCUUUUCAUUGGGGUGAACGGAAUAUGUUUAUGGGUAAUUUGGUAACAAAAGUGGUGUUCUUUUAAAAAAAUUAAAACGAAAUUUUUUUAGUGAGAUGUCAAUAAAAACUAGGGUGAACCGAACGUACAUGCUCUUCGUUGUGAGAAAAAAAUUGUUUGGAGUUCAGCUACCAUUUGAUUUUGCUAAGUGACACUAGAAUUCAGUUAAACUCGACACAUAGUAAGUUUUUAAAAUAUAAUAUCUUAUGACGCAACAUGAAGCAAUGAAAGGGUUACUAGCGUAAUCCCUUGUAGAACAAAGUUACUGUAAUCCACCAGUUUGAUAGAAAUCCCAAAGGAUAAUUUGAUUAAUUGAUUGAAAGAUGAAAAGAUGAUUACAAAGCCAUGGCUUAAAUAAGCCUUUUACAACCUUUUGGAAAUAACUAACAUAUAAUAAAGUCCUUAAAACCCCAAAAGACUCUAUUCAUUAGUAGGCUGCUGUUCUGAUUACUUUAUACAAAAGAUGGCUCAAGCCACUUUUGUGGGAAAAUUAUUUUAACAAGUUUUUGCGAAAAGUGGCUCAAGCCACUUUUAUGGGAAAUUAACACCUCUUUUAUGAUUGCGCCCUUUUGUCUUCCGACGUUCCAUCUCCUCCCCGAUCCAUUCCGCCAUUUGUUCUACAUCAGUCCCUUCCACUUCAGAAGAACUCGACCCCGAGUUAUGAUCAGGAUAAAGAACUUCAUCAUCAUUGAAUGUAUACAAAUCAGCAACGUUGAAAGUAUUGAAAUUCCCAUAGACUCCGGCAAAUCAAUAACAUAGGCAUUGUCAUUAAUUCGCUUGAUAACUUUGAAUGGACCAUACUUUCAUGGCUUUAACUUGCUGUAAGUUCCAACAGGGAAUCAUUCUCUUCUCAAGAACACCAUGAUAGAAUCUCCUUCCUUAAACACUUUACACGCCGAUGUUUGUCCACUGCUUACUUAUACUUAACAUUGGUUUGUUCAAGCCGUUGCUUGACCUCAUCACGAAUUGCCACCACAUCUUCAGCCAUAUUUUAUGCAGCAAUGCUAAGUCCAUGUCCCCUAGGUAGCUUCACCAAAUCCACCACGUGAUGAGGAGUGGCAGUGUAAACAAUGGAAAAUGGUGACUUACCCGUAGCACGAUGCAUGGCACUAUUAUAAGCAAACUUCAUCUGAGGCAGGACAUAGUCCCAUUGUUUUGGCUUUUCUCCACAAAUGUUUCGAACCAUGUUACCAAGAGUCCUAUUUGUGACCUCCGUUUGUCCAUCAGUUUGGGGAUGUGCAAUAGUACUUCGCUUCAAAGUAGUCCCAAACAUUCUCCAUAAUGUAAUCCAGAAAUGACUCAAGAACUUGGUGUCUCGAUCAGAAGUGGUGGACUUAGGUACCCCAUGCAAUCGAACAACCUCCUUGAAAAACAGUUUGGCUAUGUUGGAUGCAUCAGCGGUCUUUUUGCAAGCAAUGAAAUGAGCCAUUUUGGAGAACCUGUCAACCACCACGAAAACUGAAUCCAUUCCCCCUUGCAUUCGGGGUAGUUCGAGCACAAAAUCCAUAGCAAUGUCCUUCCAAAUGUCGUUAGGAACGGGUAAAGGCAUGUAAAGGCCCGUAUUUUGGACUUGCCUUUUUGAAACCUGACAAGUGUAACACUUCCUCACAAUGGCUCCAACAUCUCGUUUCAAUUGUGGCCAAAAGUACCUCUCUUCUAAACUUGCUAUAGUUUUAUCACGACCAAGAUGACCGCUUAGUCCUCCUCCAUGCAAAUCUCGAAUAAGCUUUUCUUGCAAGGAAGAGACAGGAACACAUAAUUGGUUACCUUUGAACAGAAAACCUUCGUUGAUAAAGUAAUCUGACAUAGGUUCAUGAUUAAUGCAUUUCUUCCAUAUUUCCUGAAAAUCAUCAUCGGUUGCAUACAACUCCUUUAAGCACUUGAAACCCACAACUUCUUGGGAAAGAGUGAUUAGCAAUGAUGCUCGUCUACUCAAGGCAUCGACAACCCGAUUUUGAGCUCUAGAUUUGUGCUUGAUAACAAAUGGAAAUUUUUGCAAGAACGUUACUCAUUUGAUAUGCAUUUUAUUAACAUGCUUCUGAUUGUUAAUAAACUUCAAGGCUUGAUGAUCCGUGAAUAGCACAAAUUCUUUCUGAAUGAGAUAAUGUUCCCAUUGUUUUAAAGCUCGAAUCACCACAUAAAACUCAUAAUCAUAAAUGCUCCAUUUUUGACGGGCUUCACUUAGCUUUUCAAAGAAAAAAGUUAUAGGUAUCUUCUCUUGGGAAAGGACAGCACCCACUCCCACUCCACUUGCAUCACAUUCGACUUCGAAUACUUUCUCAAAAUUUGGAAGAGCUAACACCGAAGCUGUACAAAGCUUCUCUUUGAUCAAAACAAAGUUUUGUUCUUGUUCAUCCCCAACGGAACUUGCCUUUCUUCACCCAUCCAAGUGAGUAUGGGGAGACAUGAGGUUUCGUUGGUAGCUGUAAAUGCUCCACCACUUUCUUGGCCACAAAAUUUUCACAACUUCCAUUGUCUACUAUCACUUUGCAAACUUUGCUGUUAAUGGAGCAAAGAGAACGAAAAAUGCAGUGUCGUUGCCCAUCCUCUUUUGGUGCUAAAAGAACUCGCUGCAACACCAAAGCGAGGUGAUCCAUUCCUUCUUCAGUUGUGAAUUCAACGUCUUCAUAGUCAUCAUCACCAACUUCUUCUUCCCUAUAAUCUUCUUCUUGGUUCCCUUCAGCAUCCAACAAGUUGGCUUGUCUCCAUUCAGGACAAACGUUAGAUCGAUGCCCAAUUUUGUUGCAACGAUAACAAAUGUCUCUUAUAGGCUUGGCAUACGGAUUCUCCCUUGGAGGUUGGUUUCUAUUCUGCCCCUUGUUAAAAGUUCUGCUACUCCCUUCAUUUGAUGCUCGAGAAGGAAAACUUGAAGGUUUCAAUCCUCCCGAACUUUGUGGCACAGAUUUUCCUUUGUCGGUGGACGAGACAACAGGGUUUUCAAAAUGCUCCGUCACGUUCCCCCGGAAAGAGGUUUGUCGCCUUUCUUUCUCUAUUAUCUCCGCCUUCAAGGCCAUGUUAAUGGCCUCUUGCAAACUCCACAGAUUUUGCAGCCCAAUCUUUUCUUGAAUGGAGGGUUUCAAUCCAUUCACGAACCUCGCAACCCUUUGAUUUUCUGUCUCCAUCAGAUUGUUUCGCUCCGUAAGUCUCAUGAAAUCAUCCGUAUAAUCAGUCACGUUUCUAUUGCCUUGGACGCAGCUGAUGUAUAUACGGUAUAAAAGAUGUUCAUAAUCCGCAGGUAAGAAACGAUCCAUCAAAAGUUGCUUCAUUUUUCUCCAAGUGCGGAUUCGAUUCUUUCCUUGCCUCUGCCGGGUAUUUUGUAAUUGAUCCCACCAAACAGCGACAGUUGCUUUGAGACGGAAGGCCACCAUCUUCACCAUUUUUGUCUCGGGAAGCUCCAUGACAUCAAAGAAUCUUUCUACUUCAACUAGCCAAUCCAGGAAAUCUUCGAUUUUAAGGUUUCCCGCAAAAAUUGGAAUGUCGGCCUUAAUCUGAAAGUCAUCAAAGUUAUUGUGGUUUUGAUGAUUUGGAUGGUUAGCCGGGUGUGGUUCCACAUCUUCAUCUUCGAACUCCGAUUCGCUGUCUUGAACACGGACCCUAGGAACUCUCAGAUUAUUGACUCCAGCAGUUAUAUGAUUAUUUGGACUAAUGGCUUGGACCAACAUCUCACGAAGUUCUCCAAUUUGAGUAGUCAAGUUUGUAAUCUGUUCAGCUUGAGCAUCCAAGUCUGCUCGAGUGAUAGGGGCAGGUUCACGAUCACGAUCACCCAUGGAUAGAUAGGGUAAACAACGAUGCCAAGACGGGAGAAACCCGCUUUGGUACCAAUUGAAGUAGCACGAAGCAAUGAAAGGGUUACCAGCGUAAUCCCUUGUAGAACAAAGUUACUGUAAUCCACCAGUUUGAUAGAAAUCCCAAAGGAUAAUUUGAUUAAUUGAUUGAAAGAUGAAAAGAUGAUUACAAAGCCAUGGCUUAAAUAAGCCUUUUACAACCUUUUGGAAAAACUCAAAAGACUUAGGAAUUUAAAAUGGAAAUAACUAACAUAUAAUAAAGCCCUUGAAACCCCAAAAGACUCUAUUCAUUAGUAGGCUGCUGUUCUGAUUACUUUCUGCAAAAGAUGGCUCAAGCCACUUUUGUGGGAAAAUUAUUUUAACAAGUUUCUGCAAAAAGCCACUUUUAUGGGAAAUUAACACCUCUUUUAUGAUUGCGCCCUUUUGUCUUCCGACGUUCCAUCUCCUCCUCGAUUAAUUCCGCCAUUUGUUCUACACCAUCUUAUCAUUCUUCUAUUUUAAAUUUUUUAUAAUUAUCUUUUUUACUAAUAAUAUACACCAUGAGAUUAAUCUAACCGUUCAUAUUUUUUUUCUCUCAUUUCUUCUAUUUUUCCUUCUCUCUGCCGUUGCAGUCUUCUUCCUAGUUUCUUUCCUUGCUUCAUUAAGGACACGAGGAAAAGAAAAGCCAAUUUCUCCAACUAUAAUGGAAUGAAAAGAAAGAAAAAAAAUCAAUUUCAGAAACAUAGUUAAAAUCAUCUUGAUCCCCAACUGCAUCUUAAUUGAGAAAAUCCACCCACGAUCUAAAUUUGAGGCUACUGCUCGUCAAGGUAGAAGAAAAGAAAAGGAAAACAAACUUACAUACAAUUUAAUAUAUUUUUGUGAUAUUCAAUUUUGUCCUUAGUCAAAGUAGAUACUGUAAUUCAUUUUUAUUGAUGAAAUAUUAGCAUUGUGGAUGCUUUUUGUUUACAUUCAUAUUCUUAUGAAGAAGGGAAAGAAACAUACAUGCACAACCAUUCAUAUUUGCUGAACACGAGAAAAACUUUGUAGUAGGAUUUAAGUGCUAUAUUUUAUAUUUUGAUUUCAUUUUUUUCUAAUUUUCCUGUGUAAUAUACUACAUGAUUUUCAAGACUAUGCAAAGCUCUAAUUAAAUUUAUAUCUGAUAUGAUUUUCAUGGUGUAUAUGAAUUAGUAGUAGAUGAUCCUAAUUAAUUUAUAGUUAAUUAGUAGAAAAGAUAAUUAUGAAAAAUUAAAAUAGAAGAAUGAUAAAAUAGUAUUAUAUUUAUAAUAGAAUAAUGAUAAAAAAUGGAUGUAGCGCCACUCAGCAAAGUCCAGUAAUAAGCUGAGCUCCACACAAGUUUUUUUGACUUGUUUUACUGACAUUACUAAUAUAUAGAAAAAGUUGUCAAGAAAGAGAAGCAAUGUUAAAAUGAAAUUUUUAUGAAAAAAGGAUUGGACUAAGUUUAUUUUAACCAAAAACAAUAACUUUAUUUAAUGAAAAAACUUAAUUUUAAUGAAAAAAAAUUUAAAUUUUAAUCAAAAUGACAAAAGAACUCAAAUUUUAAUGAAAAAGACAUAAUUUUAAUAUUAAAAAAACUUACGUACCUCCGCGUGUCCUCAGAAAUAAUGUUUAUGAAACUUACUACAUUGUUUAUGAAACUAAACGGUACUACACUGUUUAUGAAACUUAUUAUACUGUUUAUGAAACUUAACGGUAUUACACUAUUUAUGAAAUGUAACAGUACUGCUGUGUAUAUAUGUAUGUUAAUUCUUUUGUCUUAAGUAGGCACAAGUGAAAUCUACAUACAUUACUUUUACUUAUAUUAUUUAUUAUAUACAUGAAUAUACACCUUAUGAGAUUAUAGUACCAAACGUGUUUGUGUUAUCUUGCUCUGUCAAAGGCCUAAAAAUUGUACCAAACGUGUUUGUGUUAUCUUGCUCUGUCAAAGGCCUAAAAAUUGGUGUCAUUGUUGUUACAGUUAGCUAAUUCAUACAUAAUAUAAUAUAUAUGUGUAUUUUCAUGUACUUUUUCUUAUUUAGUUAUAUUUCAAGGGGUGAAGAGAGGGGAUUGGGGGGACGCGAUAGGCACACAUAUUUAUAUUUUAUGUUUUUUUCAUCAUUAAAUAAAAUUAUUAGUUGAUUUUUAAUUAAAAUGCAAAAUUUUGAAACUAUUUUCAUUAAAUUUCAUAUGUUAUAGAAUGCGCAGAGUUUACAAUCUAAUUCCUCGAAACAUAACAACUAACCUAUAAUUUGUAAAACCAGGCACUGAGCAAACCCCGUUUAUUUUUAUUCAAAUUUUCAGUAACUACAAACAAGAAACAAAAUAAAAAAGAAUGAAAACUAUCGCACAAAUGAGUAGUGACCUUAAUCUGCUGCACAUGGUACAAACAACGGAGAUCAUACAUCAUGAAGAUUCAACUUCCUCAACGUUUGCCGUUCGCCUUUGUCUUAAAGGAGGGCUUGAGUAUUCCAUGCCGGUAUCUGAUGACGAGAUAUUGGAUGGCACUGAGGACUCCGGGAAUGAGCUUGUUACUGGAUUUGGCUGAGGUGUUUCAUUUCUAUAACUCUGAGAAGAAAGAGAACUAGCCGCCUUUGUGCUUCCGGUGUUUGAUUCCCCUGAGCUUCUUCUGCGAGUUUUCUUAGAAGAUUCAUGACGGUUGGAAGAAACCUUGAUGAGAUAGACAGUAUUCCGGACAGCUGGUAAAAACAAAUAACGGAAACUAGAAUUAGAAACUGCUUCAAUCAAGAAAAUUAGAAUUUGAUGAGAAACUGUAACCAAAAAGGCCAGCCCCGAGUGAGGUCUCUAUCAAAUUAGGACCACCAGCUGUUGUAUUCCACGUUCAAUCCCAAUUUUACACUCUACUAAGUGAGACAUAAAAAACUCAGUUUUAUACUUACAGCGCCAUGCUGGAACUGUCCUGUAAUGUCCAUCUGUACCCAUAAGGCCUUUGAAAGUAAAAAUCCAACAAAUAGAACCAUGAGGUAGAGAGGGUUCCUGUUUCAUUUGAAGAAAAAAGGCACAGUGAUUAACAGAUGUGCAAGACAUUAGCGUCUGGACACUUAAAAAUGUCCAAAACCUAAAACUCGCAAAAGGAAACAAAAAAGAACGAAAGUAAUUACUUUAAAAGCAUCAUAAAUUCGUUAAAACCAAGAAUGAUCAUCGCCAUUAUAGCCCAUGGAGGAGGUAACCAGUUGUUACUCCGCUUGUGAGCCUCCUGAAAGUACAAAAGCAAACAACAUCAUGAUCGAGCAGAGCUAUAAGCAUAAAGAUAGGGAGCUCGUUACAAAAAUAGUAAUAGGAUGCUAGGAUUUUUCUUUGUAGAAAAAACAAGAAUACACUGAACUUGAUUAUAAGUCGGUCCUAUCUGACUAAACCAUUCCCAAGUCAAGAAUCAGCGCGAUUUUCAAUAUGAAAUGUUUCCAUAUGUUUGGUUUCACUACUAAACUAAAUCCAAUUUACACAAGAACUCCCACCCAAAAUGUCAUCCGAGGACAAUGCAUGCGUCCUAUUUCCACGUUCCUCCCACCAGUUGUUCAUUACUUUUGCAGGAACAUGUUCCAAUAUUCAUAUUUUCAUAACCAAAUCUUUAAAGAACAUUUUAUAAAAGACAAAAUUCAUUUAUUCGAGAUGCAACUCUGAUUAAACGAUAUAAAAACAAUUACACUACUAAAGUUAAACUUAAGUAUACCUGUGCCGAAAUAGCUUGAGUGACGAUAUAUUCGGUCUCUGCUUUGAACUGCUUUGACAAUGACUUGCACUGUACUGGGGUAAUUAAGGUAUCCUUUGAAGAAACAUAGUUUAGAGUUAACCUUAAUAAGAAGGGAGUCUCAUCAUAGAAAAAUUUUACAUAAAAACCAAACCCAUAAAUAAAUGGUACCUCUUGCCAAGAGCUUGAGGCAAGAGGAUCUGUAGGAGGUCCUAGUUUCCUAUUUUGUGAAGAUGAAACAGUAACAGUCCUGUCCACCAGAGAAGAAACUAGGACAUUUUCAAUAUUAUCUGGCUUCUCAUCCAAGCGAAUGGCAGCCAUGGUCAACAAAAGCUUCAGAGACUGCAAGAAAGAGAUGAUCAAACAACUAAAACAUCACUUUAAGUCAGAAAGAUAGAUAACAUGUACUUCCACAAAAGUUCCCAAUGAUUACCGCAGUUCGUGCAUCCUUGGUAAUACUUCUAAUGUCUUCGUUCCCAGUUCAAACCCUAGGCAUUGAAUCGCUGUCAUAAUUGAAGACUACGGCAAACCUGAGAAAUGACAACAGAAGUGAUCAGCAACCAAAAUAACAAGGUGAAAAGGAAAAGAAGAUUUUUAAAAAGUUCCUACCGAUCCUUCAUGUGGAUCAUAAUUUUCCCAGCCUCUUCUCUUGCUUUUUUCUCCACCAAUUUCUUGCAUAAUCCUUCAAAUGCUGCUUCAUUUUGACAACCGUUUCAUUGUCCAACUCAAAAUUGGCAACUGCAGUUGAGAACUCCGAUACUGCAACUUUGGUCUCACGAUUAAGUAGUUUUCGUAUCGAAGCCCAGGUGUCUUUCGCACCAGUUUCCAGUAGAGCCUCUACAGGACCGCUUAAAGACGAAGAAAGUUUUUUUCUGAAAAAUAAUGGGUAUUUGCAUUAAGAAAUUUGAAUAACCAAGACUUUGAUACAUUAUCAGAGCACUACCUCAUAUGUGGAGAUAAAUGACCACAUACCUCAUCGUGGACCAACUGUUUGAAUUUCUGGUUGGCAAUCUCUUCACACCGAACCGUAGCAACCAUAACCUAAUUAAAUUACAGUAUGUGUAUUAUAUAUUAUAUGCAUACGAGAAGUGAAGUCCUUGUUCUCUUUGAUUACUUUCCAAAUCUGUUGUGCACUAAAGGAAAAUCCUGACGCAGGGACAACACCCCUUCUAUCGCCAGCAAGCCCUCGUGGAGAAAUAGAAUGGAAAAAGCCAUCUCUCUUUCUUUCUCUUUUGUGAUGCGUCCAUCUCAGCCUCCCCAAGCAACUCGACGGCGUUGCUGCAGGCCAUGGCGAACAGUUCCACUCGAAAAUCCGUCCAAUUUGAGCGAGAGUCAAAGAACUCGGGGAAGAAUCGGACCUCGUAGUUUUGGAUGUGGCUCGCCAGAUGAGCCAUGGUUUCCAGCGAAAACGGGCACCAAAAAUUUUGGUCUCGGAUCUUCGACCUGGAUCCCCAUCAACAAAAUCGAACAACACAGAUUCAAGGUAAUGUAUAUGUGUGUCUGAGGGUUUGAAAUUGGGGGAAGGGCGGCUGAGCCAUGUGAAAUUCGGUGAGAUGACAUAGAGUCGGGAGCGAUGAUGAGUUUUCGGUUGUUUUGGGGAGAUGUUGCUUUAUUUAGUUAUAGGGAAUUUUAUUGUUGGUGCGUGGUGAAGGAAGGAGGGAGGAACAAACAUGGAAUACUUAUGGAAGUUGUAGAAGUACUUACUACUCUCAACCUUAUUGUUACGAAAGCAUACAUAUCUUCGGAUAGUGGCUGGUUCAUGGAUGGUAAAAAUCCUUUUAUUACGGACUUUUUUAUCGCUGUAAAAAUUGUCCUUUUUUGUUCGAGCUAGAAACUGAUUAUGUGAUUUGGUUUUCAAAUCGGUUUUAACUGCCGCUGAUCAAGAUGGAAACAAGGUUACAGAUGAGGUUUUGAAUUAUAUUCUAAACCUAAUCCAAUACUAACUGUGUUUGCCAUUUUUUUUUCUUGCUUUUGCAGCGAAUGAUGUAAAAAUACUUUAUUCAAAAGGUUACAUUUGUUUGGUCUACUGUGGUUACAUUUUUCAUUUGAUUAAGCUUUGUCAUUGUGUAUAUAUUGGUUGUUCUGUUUCUUAAUAUUGGUGUAGGAAUUUGAUACUUAAAUGCUUCUUCAGGUAUGAAUGGCUCCCAAAACAAAUAAAACACUGUAACUUCAUUAACUGCCGGAAUCAAUCUCAACAUAAAGGAAAGUUUCUGUAAGCAUGCUCUAUUCCUAGGGAGAUUUCAGUUUAAUAGAAUUUUUUGUUUAUGUGGGUUUUGAAUUUUAUCAUAAGAUUUUUUCUUAAUUGGUAUUCAAAAGCGAAUAAAAUAUGUGUUCCUUGGGUCUGACUUUUUAGUUGUUUUGUUAUGAAAUUGUUAAUUGAUUGCAUAUUGUUAAUUUGAUACAUUUUUUUUUUAUGUUAGCUCCAAUUUCAUGCUCUAAGAAAGUUAUGGAUUCAUUUUUUGUAGCAAAUAUUAAAGUAUCAAUAUCCAAAAGAGUUAAAUUAGUUUCAAUUCUUAAAUUAUCAGUACACAGAAGAAAGAUCUAUUAGUUUAAUUUAAAUACGUUUGGAAAGUUAGAAAUAGCUCUAUUAGUUUCAAUUUGUACACUUUUUGAAAUUUAGAGAUCUACUGAGCAUGUUGAAAAUUUGAAGUUGUACUUUUGCGUACUCCAAACUGUGACCUAUAGUUCCCUUAAUAUUUUCAUCCAUUUGAAUUGAUACAAAAUAACAUACUGAAUCCAUGAUCAAUCCCAUUACUAUGUUUAUGUCAAUAUUCUUUCACUUUCUUACACUGAAUUUAACUUUGCUAACACUGGUAAGCUUCCCUUUCAAAAAAAAUUUCUCUUCAGUAAAUACGAUUUAUCAAUGCUUAAUUUGGGUUUGGAGUUGUUUUCUUCUCAUGGUAAAAAUUGGUGUGUCCCAUCCAGAACAAUUAGUGGCCAUUUUUGAGGUUUAUUCCAGUAAAGGGUUUAAGGUUUUUUAUAAUGUCAUAUCGUGUUAGGAUUUUUGAAAGUUGGUUUAUUUUGAAAUUAAAGAUUUUAUGCAUCAUUCAGUUGGUGAAGGACACUUUGAAAUCAAUUUUUUCCGCAGCUGAGACAAUUGAUUAGUUGAUAAGAAAGCGACAUUUUCAUUCUAUUUGUAAGAUUUAGCCAAAAGUAUUUUUUAACAACUAUGAUAUAGUUUGAUUUCAAUUCAGAAGUACUUAUUUUGUUAAAUUUAACCUCGAAUAUGUUAGUAAAUCUUUAUACUUUAUGUGCAAAUACAUAUAUAAUCCUGUAUGUAUAAUUUUUAUAAUGUUGCUAAACAUUUUUACUUUCAUCUUUUUGUCCGUAGAGGGUGAAAACCGCGCCGUUCACAGAUGCAAAACAGGGAACAUCUCCUACUUCAUAUGAGAAGUAGAGAUUAGUUCGAUUGUGAUUGUUUUUCUGAUUUGGUUAAAUUCGAAAUUAGUUGGCUUGCGUCUAAUUUAGUUGUUUGCAUUGGUCACACAUGUAGUCGUUUUCUAACUUAGUUCAUCAAAAUAUGUCAUACAAUUUCCACUCCCGCAAUAACGCGUGAAUCACAUUUCCCGCAGCAAUGCGUGGGCUACACUUUCUAGUUAUUACUUUAGUCUAAAGAAAGCAUUGCAAUUGGCACAAUGAACAGUGUUUGUACUCGGAUUUCAGUUUAAUUACAACCAUGCCAUUGCUUUAAUGAGUGGGCUUUGUGGAAGGUUCGGGUUCGGGUUUAUUUUUUUGGGUUUGGGCAAAUGGGCUGCUAAAUCUCUACAAAGAAAACAUAUAAUGUAAAACAAAUAUUUAAAAAAAAAAUACAAACCCUAAACUUAAUCAUUCAAAAUAAUAGAAAAAGUAAAGUAGAAAACCCAACCCCCGAAUCCCAUUCCCUGCUAGCAACCUUUCCCUUCCCAUUUUGCCCGACACCCCGCCCAGCUUAGUUCUCUCUCUCUCUCU
rnacentral:lncRNA from 1 species